rnacentral:lncRNA from 1 species
UUUUUUUUUUUGUGAGAAGCUGUAAAAAUUUGUUAUUUGCCCUUGGAACUUUUACGGGCCGCUAUGUACUGUACAACACUAAACGGCCCAACCCCAAAUUAGCGACUAGUAAACGGCAACCAACCAGCCUGCACAUCCAACCUCGCCAGCGGCCAGGGCCAGGACAAAAAAUGUUGAGCAAGGCUAAUAACACAGUCGAUGGCUGGUUGUUCUUACAGUCUACUUAUAUAGUGGUUAGCUCUUCAUUAUUAAUAUAUAGUAUACUUGUUUUUCUUCUAAACUUUUUUGGUUCUUGUGUCUAAGUCGGCUGUAAGCUUACAGCCCGCUUUCACUCUCUCUCCUCUUCUCUUUUUUCCCAGCUCACCAUUUAGCUGGCUUACAGCUUAGGUCAUGCGAGCGAAGGAACCAUUAUGGGUGUGUUUGGUUCACUUUUUCGACUUGGCUUGGCUAGCCAACUAAGCCAGGUACUCUAAGCCUGGCUCUCCCAAUGCAAGAGGCAGUUGUUUGGUUCACUUGACUUAGCUAAGCCUGGAUUCCUUUGAUCAUCAGCUUAAAUACAGUCACCUCUUUCUUGUUCUGGUAGCUUUACCUCUCUAAGACAUUACAUCAAACGGUUGGUGGGCACUAAAAUCUUCACCACGCCAUAGAUGAGCUCUACCUCGCUAACGCUGCCAACAAGGAAGAAGAGGGCUCGCCGGCACUGCUGGACCGACGCGGUAACGACAACAUAGCCCAACUCCUCCAUGGCUCGGCACUCCUCCUUGGCCGGCACUGCUGGACCGAAUGCGUCGCGAAGGAGGAGUAGCACGGCGAGGCAGAACCGUGGCGCCCAGCUGUACUGCGCCCCGCCGAGCCUGUAGGCCACGACGGGAGCCGCUCGCCGCCGGGCCCGCCACGAACGCGCGCCAGUGCGUCGCGGAACGCGGCACCAGGUCCUCCAGGUCGAACGGCGGGCCACGAACCCGGAGCUGCCACAGACGCCCGAAGAAGAUGAGCUUCUUGAACAAGCAGGCGCCGACCAUGGCAUCGAGCUUCUCACGGUCGCGCCGGCCAAGGCAUCGAGCAGGGCGCCAGAUCUGGAGGAGGAGAAGCCAAACACACCCUAUGAUAGUGUGGUGCGUGAACAGUGAAGUGUGAACGUGCGACUGGCUUUCCUUAACUUGUCGAAGAGGAAAGGGUAAGCCAACACGACAUUGGCAGAAUAAUGCCGUGCCGGAAACGUGGAAAGAGAUGGACGACGACGAGCGAAAGGUGGUGGGUGGACUGGUGGUGGUGGCGGAGUGCCGGAGCACGACGUGCGGAGGGAGAGCCGGCAACGGGCGGGAGCGGGAGAUUUUUGCUUGGACAGGCCGGACCGACAACGAGUCUUGUCGGUAAGCAGAGCCGCGCCCGUGCGAUGCGAUGCGAUGCGAUUCGGGUGGUUUUCCUGCACCGAUCUGCAUGGUUAGUAUUUGGCGCAAAUUAAGGCCUUGUUUAGUUCUAAAAAAUUUUACAAAAUUUUUCAGAUUCUCCGUCACAUCGAAUCUUUAAACGCAUGCAUGGAGUAUUAAAUAUAGAUGAAAAUAAAAAUUAAUUGCACAAUUUGGUCGAAAUUGACGAGACGAAUCUUUUGAGCCUAGUUAGUCUAUGAUUGGACAAAUUUUGUCAAAUACAAACGAAAGUGCUACAGUAUCAAUUUUGCAAAAUUUUUUGGAACUAAACAAGACCUAAAGAGACAAACCUGACGUGUGACACGGGCACAUGGUGCGUGCGCUAACUGCAUGCCGCGUACGUGGACCGCGCAACAGCAAGGGCAGGCAGCGAAAUGGAGAUGUCGAUCGAUGAUGGUUCCUCUUUUCAGCAUCUGCAAUGCACUGACAAGGGUGGAUUUUGCUCCGAUAUAGAGUUGUAGUAUGUAUAUGGCGUGCGGGUGAUCCCAGUGGGUGUAUGUUCCCCUUGGACACAAAAUGAUUGUCUUCUGUUUGGUCCUCUCAAUUCAUCAUAGACGUACGUAUUGUUGAAUAUAAUGGGCCAUUAGCCCAUAUUUAUAUUUGAUGAUUAAUUCAAGGGCCCAUAAUUAAUGCUAUAAUAAAAAUGGUUUAGUACCAUAUUGAUGAUUGACCAUGUGUUAACUCAACUUAAAUAGGUGGCCUUUGUUAGCCUCUAUGGAGAAGUUGAGGGAGGAUGAAGGGGUGCCACACGCGCGCGCCGCCGCCGCCGAGCCCCCGUCCCGAUCCUCUGCGCGCACAGAGAUCGGGAGAGCAGACCUCCGGAACCCGACGCCACCUGCUCGGGUGUUGCGGGCAAUCAGGUUUUUGGGGAGCGUCUUCCGCGACUGCUCACCGGCGAGAUCGUCUUCUUCCACUCCGGCGGGUCUUCUUCCUGGUGGACGUUCGCGCGGAUCGAGAUCGACUACUUCGUCUUCUUCCUGGUGGACGUUCGCGGGACUGCACUGCGAACAUCUUCCUGCACCGACUGUGGUCCGCUACUUCGAGCAACGCACUAUGUCGACUAGUGCGAAUGGAGCCGCCGGUGCCUUCGGCACUGGUCCCUCCUCUGGGUACAAUCUUAAACGAUUGUUUUUCGUUUUCAGUAUGUCUGCUGUUGUUGCAGUAGUAUUUGCAAUGUUUGUCUCUAAUCUGAGUAGUGAUAAAAUUGCACACGUGCACAUAUAUGCCACCACAAUAUUAUGCGUAAUUUUCUGGAUUAAAUCAAACAGUAAAAUGUCUAAAUUUCUAACAAUCCAAAAACCUGAUAUUAGGCAUUUUUCUGCUAGUGGUUUUGCUGCUGCGUUAAAACCGGAUGCGUUCGAUGGUUCAAACUAUAAGCGGUGGCGCGCGAGAAUGACAUUGUGGUUGACUGCUAUGAGUUGUUAUGACGUCGCGAAGGGGAAGCCUGAACAGUUUACUCCUGAGGAGGAGAAAACGUUCAUGGCUGCUGAUAACCUCUUCAGAGGCGCCGUCAUAAGUGCGCUCGAUAAAAAGUAUGUCGACAUCUAUAUUAUUUGCUCCACUGCUAAAGAAUUAUGGGAUGCGCUUGAGGCCAAGUUCGGGGUUUCUGAUGCUGGUAGCGAGCUGUACCUCAUGGAACAAUUGUUUGAUUACAAGAUGGUGGAUAGCCGUUCUGUGAUUGAACAAGCACAUGAGAUACAGGCACUAGCUAAGGAACUAGAACAAUUUCCUUGUGUGUUGCCUGAAAAGUUUGUGGCCGGCGGUAUAAUCGCUAAGCUGCCACCUUCUUAGAAGGAUUUUGCUACUUCUCUAAAACAUCAGAGGAAAGAGUUUGGUCUUCUGAACUCAUGGGAACUCUUGAUGUUGAGGAGAAGGCGAGAGCAAAAGAUACACAUGGGAAAGGCGUUGAGUCUUCUAGUGCCAAUGUGGUGCAGAAGAAAAAGCAAUUCGCAUUCCGUAAUAAGAAAAAGAACAAGCAAGAGAACAAGCAAGGAGCAAACCCGAAGCAAAAACAAACUGCAACUUUUAAGAAGAAAAAGGCAGAAGGAGGCUGCUUUGUUUGCGGUAGCGAUGACCACUGGGCGAGUGGUUGUCCAGACCGCAAAUUUAAACGAGAAGAGAAAAAGUCAGUAAACAUGGUCAUUAGCGAGGCUGAAGGAGGAACAUCUGGGUAUGGUAAUUAUUUACCUACUUUUUUUUCAGUCUGUCAUUCACCUGAGUGGUGGAUGGAUACUGGGGCUAAUGUUCAUGUGUGUGCUGACAUCUCUUUGUUUUCUUCUUAUCAGGCCGGCAACACUGGAGCCUUACUGAUGGGGAACGGAUCUCAUGCGCGUGUUCUUGGUGUUGGUACGGUCAUUCUGAAGUUCACUUCGGGAAAGACGGUGCUGAUGAAGAACGUGCAGCAUGUCCCCUCCAUCAAAAAGAAUCUAAUUAGCGGCUCACAGCUUUGUAGAGAUGGCUACAAAAUAGUCUUUGAGGCCAAUAAAGUUAUACUUUCAAAGUUUGGAACUUUUAUUGGUAAAGGUUAUGAUUGCGGAGGCUUGUUCCGCUUAUCCAUGCAUGAUGUGUGUAAUAAAAUCGUGAACCAUACUGUGAUUUCGAAUGAGUCGAAUAUUUGGCAUUCGCGAUUUUGUCAUGUUAAUUAUGGUUGUUUAACGCGGCUAGCAAAUAUGAAUUUAAUCCCGAAAUUUAAUUUAGUCAAAGGUUCUAAGUGCCAUGUAUGCGUGCAAUCCAAGCAACCUCGCAAGCCUCACAAGGCUGCGGAGGCGAGGAACUUGGCACCAUUAGAAUUAAUCCAUUCCGAUCUAUGCGAGAUGAAUGGUGAGUUGACUAAAGGUGGUAAACGAUACUUCAUCACUUUUAUAGAUGAUUGUACUAGAUUUUGUCAUGUGUACUUGCUUAAAACAAAGGAUGAAGCAUUACAAUAUUUUAAAACCAAUAAAGCUGAAGUAGAAAAUCAACUUGAGAGGAAAAUUAAACGCUUAAGGUCCGAUCGUGGUGGAGAAUAUUUUUCAAGUGAUUUUUCUGACUUCUGCGUAGAACAUGGAAUUAUUCAUGAGAGGACACCACCAUACUCACCACAGUCCAAUGGGAUUGCCGAAAGAAAGAACCGUACUCUAACUGAGAUGGUUAACGCCAUGUUAGAGACUUCGGGUCUAUCUAAGGAAUGGUGGGGUGAGGCGAUAUUGACAGCGAGUCAUGUCCUGAAUAGAGUUCCUACUAAGAAUAAAGAAAUCACACCAUUUGAGGAAUGGGAAAAGAAAAGAGUAAAUGUCUCUUAUUUGCGUACUUGGGGUUGUUUGGCUAAAGUGAAUGUGCCAAUAAACAAGAAACGCAAACUCGGACCUAAGACAGUUGACUGUAUUUUCCUUGGUUAUGCUACUCACAGCAUAGGGUAUAGGUUCUUAAUCAUAAACUCUGGAGUACCAGAUAUGCAUGUUGGUACUAUAAUGGAAUCUAGAGAUGCAACAUUCUUUGAAAGUGAGUUUCCUAUGAAAAGUACACCUAAUAUUUCUAGUCAUGAGUCUAUAAACUCCCAUGAGCAAUUUAUUCCGAUAGAACAAACUGAGGAACCCCAUGUUCACUAUCCUGAGGAGGAUGAUAAUGUAGUCACUCGAACGAGCAAAAGACAAAGAAAAGUGAAGUCUUUUGGAGAUGACUAUAUUGUGUACCUCGUGGAUGAUACCCCAACAACCAUUAAAGAAGCAUUUUUCUCUCCUGAUGCUGACUUGUGGAAGGAAGCAAUAAGGAAUGAGAUGGAUUCUAUAAUGUCUAAUGAAACUUGGGAAGUGGUUGAACGACCUUAUGGGUGCAAACCUAUAGGGUGCAAAUGGGUGUUUAAGAAAAAGCUUAGGCCUGAUGGUACAAUUGAGAGGUACAAGGCUAGGCUUGUGGCUAAGGGUUAUACCCAAAGAGAAGGGGAAGAUUUCUUUGAUACUUAUUCACCUGUUGCCCGUUUGACCACAAUUCGAGUGUUAUUGUCUUUGGCUGCCUCUCAUGGUCUUCUCAUUCAUCAGAUGGAUGUGAAAACAGCUUUCCUAAAUGGAGAGUUAGAGGAAGAGAUCUAUAUGGAUCAGCCUGAUGGAUUUGUAACAAGUGGUGAAAAGGGCAAGGUGUGUAAGUUAUUAAAAUCCCUUUAUGGCCUAAAACAAGCUCCAAAACAAUGGCAUGAGAAGUUUGACAGAACCUUAACUUCGGCCGGCUUUGCUGUUAAUGAAGCUGACAGAUGUGUGUACUAUCGGUUUGGUGGGGGUGAAGGUGUGAUCCUUUGUCUGUACGUGGAUGACAUACUGAUCUUUGGGACAAGCCUUGUUGUGAUCAAGGAAGUUAAAGACUUUUUGUCUAAUAACUUUGAGAUGAAAGAUUUGGGAGAAGCUGAUGUUAUUCUAAACAUUAAGCUUUCAAGAGAAGGCAAUGGUGGGAUAACACUUGUGCAGUCCCACUAUGUGGAAAAGAUUUUAAGUCGCUUUGGGUACAGUGACUGUCAAUCUGCUCCUACGCCUUAUGAUCCUAGUGUGCUAUUGAGGAAAAACCGAAGAAUAGCAAGGGAUCAACUAAGAUUCUCCCAAAUUAUAGGCUCAUUGAUGUACCUUGCUAGUGCCACGAGGCCUGAUAUCUCGUUUGCAGUGAGCAAACUUAGCCGGUUUGUGUCAAAUCCGGGAGAUAUUCAUUGGCAAGCUCUUGAGAGAGUGAUGCGCUAUUUGAAAGGUACUGUGAGCUAUGGCAUUCACUAUACCGGAUACCCGAAGGUAUUAGAGGAUUAUUGUGAUGCAAACUGGAUAUCUGAUGCUGAUGUGUUAAAGGCCACAAGUGGAUAUGUGUUUCUGCUUGGAGGUGGCGCUGUUUCAUGGAAGUCUUGCAAGCAGACUAUCUUAACGAAGUCAACCAUAGAAGCAGAACUCACAGCAUUAGACACCGCCGGUGCUGAGGCCGAGUGGCUUCGUGAACUCCUGAUGGAUCUACCGGUGGUUGAAAAACCUGUGCCGGCUAUUUCCAUGAACUGUGACAAUCAAACAGUGAUCACUAAAGUCAACAGUUCUAAGGACAACAUGAAGUCUACUAGGCAUGUCAAACGGCGUUUGAAGACUGUCAGAAAGUUGAGAAACUCCGGAGUUAUAGCAUUGGACUAUGUUCAUACGUCCAAGAAUCUGGCAGAUCAAUUUACAAAGGGACUAUCACGUAAUGUGAUAGAUAGUGCAUCGAGUGAGAUGGGUUUGAGACCCACGUGAGGUCUACCAUGGUGGCAACCUGUUCUAUGUGAUCGGAGAUCCCGUGAAGUAGAAUGGUGAAACAAGCCAGAAGUAGAUUGUGAGGAAAGACCCUUUACUUAACUCAUCUCAAUUGCACUUCUUUCCUAAGUCUGUAAGGAAGGCUGGUUAUAUACCUUAAUGUAUUCCAAAGCGGCUUGUGAAGCGAUAGAUGUUGUCCUACAGAACAUCUUUAAGGAAUACACCUAUAUGAGUUUGACUGCUAGUCACAGUCUAUGAGAUUUUGGGUGAUCUCUAGAUACUCAUGAAUGGGCCAGAAGUAUGACUUAUAUGCUUCAACCAGAGGGGAUGUUCAUGCAACCCGGUAUCAGUUAUGAGUAUAGAUGAAACUUAUAUCACACAAAACUUGCAAUUCAAGGCAUAGUCCAUUGUUCAAGUUGUGGCUAAGUGUAGUCUGUACUCUAGGUGGAAGUUCAACUUAACAGUCUCCACUGAAACGACUGGUAUAUGAAACGACAUGGAAACUCGAGAGUUUUUCUUAUGUGCCCUAGAAAUAGGUGGGGAUUGUUGAAUAUAAUGGGCCAUUAGCCCAUAUUUAUAUUUGAUGAUUAAUUCAAAGGCCCAUAAUUAAUGCUAUAAUGAAAAUGGUUUAGUACCAUAUUGAUGAUUGACCAUGUGUUAACUCAACUUAAAUAGGUGGCCUUUGUUAGCCCCUAUGGAGAAGUUGAGGGAGGAUGAAGGGGUGCCACACGCGCGCGCCGCCGCCGCCGCCGAGCCGUGUCUUGUCUUGUCUUGACGAGACGAGACGAGACGAGCGAGCGUGACGUGGCACACGAGGACCAGACCAGACGUGACGUGGCGCAUGCUUGGUGAAUAAGGAAAGGGAGGAAAAACGGGAUCUGACCGUUGUGUAAUUAAUGGCAAUUAAUUGCUAAUUGAUUGACUCGGUUUAUGGCAAUUAAAUGAGAUUAAUGGUCAUCAAUCAGAUAUUUCCUCCUGAGGCCUAUAUAUACCAUACGCACCCACUCCUUCCAUUCCUGCGAGAACACACUCAGUCUUCUCUCUUCCUGUCGAGUUGCACUCUGUCCAUUCCCGUCCCGAACCUCUGCGCGCACAGAGAUCGGGAGAGCAGGCCUCCGGAACCCGACGCCUUGCAUCGAGACACCUGCUCGGGUGUUGCGGGCAAUCAGGUUUUUGGGGAGCGUCUUCCGCGACUGCUCACCGGCGAGAUCGUCUUCUUCCACUCCAGCGGGUCUUCUUCCUGGUGGACGUUCGCGCGGAUCGAGAUCGACUACUUCGUCUUCUUCCUGGUGGACGUUCGCGGGACUGCACUGCGAACAUCUUCCUGCACCGACUGUGGUCCGCUACUUCGAGCAACGCACUAUGUCGACUAGUGCGAAUGGAGCCGCCGGUGCCUUCGGCACUGGUCCCUCCUCUGGGUACAAUCUUAAACGAUUGUUUUUCGUUUUCAGUAUGUCUGCUGUUGUUGCAGUAGUAUUUGCAAUGUUUGUCUCUAAUCUGAGUAGUGAUAAAAUUGCACACGUGCACAUAUAUGCCACCACAAUAUUAUGCGUAAUUUUCUGGAUUAAAUCAAACAGUAAAAUGUCUAAAUUUCUAACACGUAUACUCCACAGCCCACACAGUUGUUCUAUGCAUGUGGCCCUUCAAUCAGUCGCAAUCAUAACCAAAUAAUACUACCAAAAACUGGAUGCGGGCGCUCCCUACCAAACCCACGUCGCUGGACGACGCUGACACCUCGAGGUGUGUUGGAGUAAUCAUUUUCAGCACCAGAGACGGAGAGAGAGAGAGAGAGAGUUGGGCAAACCGCCCCGCUGUUUCUGUUUAGGGCAGGUAGUCAGGUGCAAUGCAACGCUCCGCUCGUGUUGCUGCCCGGCCCGACGUACGUUUGCACCAAUGCAAGAUGAGGAGGCAGAGAUACAGUUUAUUUUGUCUUGGGUCAAACCGAAGCCGCUUCUCCCGUUGUACAAGCUGCUGCGAGAUGUCGCUGGUGGCAUCACCGAUCCAAUGCUUCCACGCUCGUGUUCCUUCGUUUGUUUGCUCUGUUGGUGUGGUCUGGAUGCACAGCACUUUUGCGUUGGAUACUUGGAUCCACCGAAAGGGGAGCCCAGAUCCCAACAGGCGUCCCACUACUCCUUGUCAUGUUGCGCUAAUAUACUGCUGUCCUAGCUAGGCCUUGUUUAGAUGUGAAAAAAAAUUAGAUUUCGUUACUGUAGUACUUUCGUUUGUUUGUGGUAAAUAGUGUCCAAUCAUAGACUAACUAGAGUUAAAAGAUUCGUCUCGCGAUUUACAGUCAAACUGUGUAAUUAGUUUUUGUUUUCGUUUAUAUUUAAUACUUCAUGCAUGUACCGCAAAAUUUGAUAUGAUAGAAAAUUUUAAAUUUUUUUUUGAUUUUCAGGACGAACUAAACAACGCCCUAGUAGCGGUCUCCAAAUGACUCGAUCGGGGGAGACUGCGAGGGAUCAGGACAAAGAUGCGGCGGCCCUGGCUUCACGGAUUCUUCUGUCGAUGGCACGCGCAUGCUGGUUUUCGUUUGGUGAAGGUAACGCACUUUUAUUUAGGCCUGGUUUUUUUUUAAAAAAAAUAAGAUUUUCUAUCACAUCGAAUCUUAUAACAUAUGCAUGGAUCAUUAAAUAUAAAUUAAAAAAACUAAUUAUAUAAUUUACCUGUAAUUUGUGAGACGAAUCUUUUGAGCCUAGUUAGUUCAUGAUUGGACAAUAAUUAUUAAAUAUAAACGAAAAUGAUAUAGUAGCCAAAACCAAAAAGUUUUACCAACUAAACAAGGUCUUAGCUCAAACUUUUAACACUCCACAUGUGACUUUACAUUCUCAAUGGUAAAGAUUUGAAUCCUACGACCACAAAGCCAUGUAUCCUCUUGUUAUCACCCGAUUGACUUUUCAUGACGGCUAAUCUCUAUCUAAACACAAGCAAAAAUAAAGACGCAUAUGAAGUUCUUUACUGAAAUCAGAUUAACCAUUGGAGUUAGGGUGUCACACAAAUGGUGACUCACGGAUGUAAAAUGACAUAUCAAUCUAAGCAAAACCCAACUCUAACUUAGACAAUUGACUACUUAAAUAGAUAUUGUUAGUGUCAGCCAAGAGGACCUAUGGACACGUUCUAAUGGACUUCGACAUGAUACCCAGUCUAAUGGACUAAAAGAUAGAGAUAUAAUACUCAGACAGAUUCUAUGUGCUUAUAACACCCUAAACAUAUUCUACGUGCCCACCUUAGAGAGCUUAUCUUCUUAGCUUUCUGUGUAUACUAAAUAUCAAAAACUCGGUUGGUAUACGACCUAAGCGACAAUUUUAGUAUGGGCUACCACUAAGACGAUGAGCUCGACUUUGAAUAUGGACUGAUUUUUUUAGAAUUGCACAGUACACUGCAGAUGUCUAAACAUGCACCCCUAUGAAGACAUGUACGCUAACUGUAUCCCUAUGACACCUACAAAGGACUGAGCUGACAAAUCUCGAGAUUCACGAAGUCACCUUUAGACAUCUCGCUGUCGAUGAGGGUGACGCCGCCUACCACUAAAAGCAUAGCUUCGAUAAAAUCAUAGAAUAAAUCUAGAAACAUACGAGUGUCCGUGUCAAGUCAAGAAUUCGAACCCAGGUGAGCAAGUUCUACCACAAGAAAUCAAACCUAGUUUGAAUAUGGACUGAUUUAAAACUACAUGUGGAGCCUAUUUUGUAUAAUAGGGGGUAAAAACCUUGUAUGCACUAUGCAGGAAGCAAAGGGUAACCAAUAAGCAGUCGAAAAAAAGGGUAACCAAUCAGCGGAAGCAGCAACGAGCUAUGCGAACCAGAAUCAGGUAGGGUUUGCAAGCCAGGGAAAGACGGAGUGAUGGGCACAAAUUAAAAGCAAGGCCUUGUUUAGAUGCGAAAAGAUUUUGGAUUUCGCUACUGUAGCACUUUUGUUUGUUUGUGGUAAAUAUUGUCCAAUCAUGGACUAACUAGGAUCAAAAGAUUCGUUUCGCGAUUUACAGUUAAACUGUGUAAUUAGUUUUUAUUUUCGUCUAUAUUUAGUGCUUCAUGUAUGUGGCGAAAGAUUCGAUAUGACAGAGAAUCUUAAAAACUUUUUGGUUUUCGGGUGAACUAAACAAGGCCCAAAGUGCUUGCGAGGAUAGUGCUGCCUUUGAAGAUCACGUGGACGCAGGAGCAGCCGACCUCAAUGCCGGCGCCGAGCGGCGUGAUGACCAUCUGGGCAUCUGGUCGCCCUCCCGUCUACUGGAGGUCGGGCUCCGGCCGGCGCCGUGGCGACUGGCUACGGACGCUCUCUCCAACUUCAAAUUAUCUCAGUGCAUCCGUAUUCCGUAGAUGCAAUUUUCAGCAAAAUUGAUUCGCAAAGUUGUUUUUUUAGGAAAAGCACACCCACAGUACACAAAUUUUAUAUCGAUUUUUCUAGAGCGUGAGUUUGAAUCUUACUCCAGCUUUUGCUACAAAUAUAUACUGAUGCAUUAUUUUAAAAAAAUUAAAACCUUUAUUGAAUAUUUUUUUUUUCUUCUUCGAGAACUUGUGCUUUUGCCGAAGAGGUGACAAUUUGCGGUGAAUAACGCCAUUUUCUACUUACCCGGUGAAUGGUGAUAUCUUUGUUGACUUGAAAUUCAUCACUGGAUUUGACACGUCAGGUGUUCAUAAAAAACGUGUAUAUCCCGGGCCACUUUUCAGAGUGUGAACUUUGUGCGACAAAUGGAAAGCAAAAGGUACUCUGCUAGGUGCUAGGCCACUAUACAAACGACCGUGAUAUCAACAUUAUAUAAAUAUAAAUACCAUCUUCACAAAAAAAUGCAAUUUUUAAAUAUAUUCUUGGUUAACGCAUCUAAAAUAUGACUAAAUAUAGAUAAAAAUAAUAAUGUCUAUGACAUCAAAUUUAUAUCUAUAUCUAAUAUUAAAGAGAUAAAAUUUUGUUCUAUCUAUUUUUCCGUCCACCUUCCCCUAACUACUUGUAUUGGACACGGGAGAGUUUCUUCUAUCUUGCUUUUUAGCUGCACUCACGUCCACCAUCUCGAAUGUAAUCCUGUCUCAUGAUCCAUAAUCAUACGAGUUAGGACAACUCGUGUUUAGCAAUAGUUAAUACAAAGUCCAAUUUCAAUACGUAUUGGAUCACACCACACAUAUCUCGAACAUGACCUAGAUUUAUGACCUGCACUCAUACAAGUUAAAACAGCUCACAUCUAACUCAUGGUACAUAGUCUGAUUUCUAUAUGUAUUGGGUUCCAUAAACAUGCAAAUAUAUUUGAACUCUAAAAGCGUACAAACAUAUUUGCUACUAAGUAUAUCUCAUAACAAAUCUAGUAAUAUUUAAUUGAUAUUAUAAAUAUUAAUAUUGUUUAUAUAUAUAUUAGGGAAACUUAAGGUAUUUUUAUUUGAUAUUAUAUGCUAGAAUUUGUUUUUUGUACGGAAUACUCUAAUUUGGAAUUUGCGUAAUUGCGUGCCCACUGCCCAGCACGCUACCCCAUGCGUACGAAGCUUAUAAUAGUUCUGUUUGCUUGAUUGAUAAGUCAUGGUCUGUUGAAUGACUGACAGAUUCAGCAAAUAAGCUUAAGCGAACAAGACUUAUUUGGAUUCUAUCUCUAUAGAUCCAAAAAGGACAUUACGCUGAGCUUCUAAAUUCUUUCCAAUAGAAAUAGAGCCCAGUGCAGUGCGUCGCUUGUUCUCAAUCUAGUAGCGGAACAAAAACACUCUUCGUGUUCGACUUCGAUCUGGUAAUUCACUACGACUUACUGGCUACACCAAGUGUUUUUAGCUUCUCGUAGUGUAAGAUCUAUUAAAUCAUUAUUAUAUAUCUUCUCUGAUUCAGUCCUGAUCGACUUCAGUGCGAAUAAGCCAUGCAUCCUAGAUCUAUUAAUAAUCAUUAUAUACAUCUUCUCUGAUUAUUCCUGAUCGACUUCAGUGCGAAUAAGCCAUGCAUCUCUGAUUUCUAUAUGUAUUGGGUUCCAUAAACUUACAUCUAACUGAUGGUACGCAGUCUGAUUUCUAUAUGUACUACUAAUUCCUAUUUACUUUUGUUGGAGGAGCAGUACGAGUGCAGCAGCUGAUUGCGCCAUGGAAGGUCACCAUACAGCAACGCUUGCGGACACGUGGUUGACGGCGACGAUGGCGAUCGCCGUUCUCCCUAUCGUCUCGGUCCUGAUCCUGACCGCCACCAAGAUCGGAAGAACCAUCGUCGGCGUCGCCCCUCCCAAGCGCAAAGGGCCGCCGGUGGCGGAGGGCGCUCCUCUCCUCGGAGUGCUGCCCGCCAUCCUCACCAGGAGCUUGCAAGACGUGAUCUGCGACCAACACUCGAAGCUCGGCAGCGUGUUCACGCUGAGCUCCUUGGGAGUGAAGGUGACGUUCCUGGUGGGGCCCGAGGUCUCCGCCCAUUUCUUCCACGCCGCCGAGUCGGACAUCAGCGUCGGCGACGUCUACAAGGUCACCGUCCCCAUCUUCGGCAAAGGGGUCGGCUACGACGUCGACCACGACACGCGGAACGAGCAGCACAGGUUCUUCGCCGACACUCUGAGGCCGGCCAAGCUCAGGAGUCAUGCCAGUCUCAUGGUUCGCGAGGUGGAGGAGUACUUCGCCAGGUGGGGGCAGUCCGGCACGGUCGACCUGAAGCAAGAGGUCGAGAACGUGCUCCUGCUGAUCGCGAGCCGGUGCCUGCUGGGGAAGGAGGUCCGGGAUCACAUGCACGACGAGGUGUCCUCGCUCCUCCGCGAGCUCAUCGGCGGCCUGCACCUGGUAAGCCUCUUCUUCCCGUACCUCCCGACGCCGGCUCACCGCCGCCGCGACCGAGCGCGCGCCAGGCUCGAGGAGAUAUUCUCCGGGAUCGCCAGGCUGCGCAGGAGCUCAUCAUCGGCCGGCCGCGGCGCCGGGGACGACGACCACGACAUGCUGCAGGGCCUGCUGGACUCCAGGUACAGAGACGGCCGCGGAACGACCGAGGCGGAGGUCACCGGCCUGCUCGUGGCGCUGCUCUUCGCCGGCCACCACACCAGCGCCACGGUCACCACCUGGACGGCGGCGCGCCUGCUCCGCCACGCAGAGUGGCUGCACGCGGCCACGGAGGAGCAGAGGCGGCUGCUGCAGAGGAACGAUCAGAACGAAGCUACAGCGGUCAUCGACUACGACGUCCUGCUCCGGAUGGACGUCCUCCACCGCUGCGUCAAGGAGGCGCUGCGGCUCCACCCGGUGACCCCAAUGAUCCUCCGCCGCGCGCGCAGGCCGUUCACCGUGCGCGCUCAGGACGGCGCCGAGUACGAGGUCCCCGAGGGGCGCAUGCUGGCGAGCCCGCUGGUGGUGAACAAUCUGCUCCAGGGCAUCUACAGGGAACCUGAUGUGUUCGACCCGGAUCGCUUCGCCGCCGGGAGGGAGGAGGACAGGGUCGGCGGCGACCUCGCCUACACCUCCUUUGGCGCCGGGAAGCAUGCCUGCAUGGGCGAGGGCUACGCCUACCUGCAGAUCAAAGUGAUACUGAGCCAUCUUCUCAGGAACUUCGAGCUCCAGCUGGUUUCUCCCUUCCCGGAGACGGAGAACAUGAUCUCCAUGAGGCCCAAAGGGGAAGUCAUGGUAAGCUAUAGGAGACGCCCUCUGCUGCAGCCUGCAGUAGUGCACUAGCUUGACAAGUGAAUAAGCAAUGCAGUAAACUGAAUUUUAUUUGUUGAGCCACAAAUUAAUCAGGGAAUUGCAUUGUAUUAGUGUGGCUGGAUGCCUGGAAGUCUUUACGUACACAGAUCCACUGCAAACUUCUUGCAGUUCGUUACAAAACACAGGCACGAAAGAAAUCGGAGGCAUUUGCAAUUCGCACGAAUUGUGUGGUCGCCGCUUCAGCACUCGGGCAAAUCCUUGGGCGGCGGCAAAACCGACUCAUCAGGGCCAUUGCCGUCCUCCACCAGGAAUGCGAUCUUGAGGCCCUAGCUCGUGUCAGUCGUGUGCACCUCCAGAUGACAGUGCAGGAACCAAACACCUGGAUUGUCUGCCCUGAACCGGAUGGCGGUCCAGCCGCCGGCGGGCACGCCGACGGUGUUCCUCUCGGGCGGGUCGACGAGGUUGUACUUGGCGGGGUCCUUGGCCGGGUCGAAGUUGCCGAGGCCCCUCCCGACGACGAAGAAGUUGUAACCGUGGAGGUGGAACGGGUGCGACUCCACGGACAGCAGGUUGUACGCGACCUUGCUCAGCCUCGUGCCCAGCGACGUGGCGAGCCCCGUCGUGAGCGGCACGCCCGUGUAGUUGAACCGCGCCGGCGGGCGCGCGGUCGGGGAAGUCGGCGGCGAAGACGCCUUUCAGCCCGCCGUAGUGCGCCUGCAGCAGCGCCACCGCGGGCAUCACGAACGUGAUGUUGUUGAGCGACGCCGCGAGGCGGGAGCCGUUCAGGCACGACCGUGCACGGCACGGGUCGAUGUUGAGCCCGAUGGUGUACAGCAGGUGCCGGUCCACGGCGCGCGGCGGGGAGGACGGAGGUCGGGACGCCGGCGUACUGGAGGAUGGCGGUGGCCGUGUCUUGUCGUCCGCGGGGACGGGCACGUGGUUGAAGGGCUUGGCGGCCAUGAAGUACCGGCCGGGCUUCUGGUCCGCCCGGACGAGCACGUUGGUGGUCUGACCCGGCGAGAGCUGGAUGGUCGACGCCGCCAAGGGCUUGGUGUACGUGGCGUCGAUCUCCACCACCGUCAUGGUGUGCCCGGCGAUGGAGAAGAAGAGCUCGUCGUUCACUGCAGCGUUGACGACCCGGAGGAGGUACGUCUUCCCCCACUGCACCUGCAGUGCGUACGUAUCUGAUCGAAGCAAGACAUGACAGUACAUACGGUUAGUAACACCAAUACAUUGCCUCGUAUCAUUAGCAAUGCAAAAGUACCAACAAGAAACCAUGAGUCCACGCACGUUUCUCGGAGCACGGGAAGAGCGGGCCGGGUUUGCCGUUGAUGGUGUGCGCGUCAGACGUGUUGGGCGCCAUGCCAGGCAUGCGGCCCUGCUUCUCGAUGGCCUCCACGUCGGCGUGCCACCACUCGCCUGCAUGCGACGCCACCAACCAAUCAGUACGAUCGAGUGUGUUCGUCACAUGGAAGCUGGACAGUGGGGUGCACCGGCCGGCCGAUCAAUCGUUCGGUCUCGCGUGCCCACGUACGUACCCAGGAUGAUCUCGGCCUCGGCGUCGGGCUUGGGGAACGGGUAGGGGACGCCGCGCUCGGGGAGGACGACGACGGCGCCGUGGACGGUGGCGCGCAGCCAGGCGAUGUGCGCGUGCCACCACAGCGUCCCGCGCUGCUCCGUGACGUACGUUCGCCGGCCCGUCCGCCCACCCGUUCCGGCGCUGCUUCAGCCCGUGGCAGUGGAUCGUCACGUUGUGUGCUCCACGCGGUUGGUGACGCGCGCGCACGACGACGCGGUCCCCUUCGCGGGCGUAGAUGGUCGGCCCAGGGUAGCCGACGUUCACGGUCACCAUGGAUUUCGCAUGGCACAGCCGGCUCACGUUGCUCAUCACGAUCUGCGUGCGUGCGUACAGAGCGGGGAACUGUAUCCACAACCACAAACCGCGAAGAACACAGGAACAAUGACAAUCAUCGAUAGCAUAUAUGUAUGUAUAUACUCACGUCGAAUUGGUAUCUCUUGACGUCGGCCUGAGCGGAGAGAGUGAGGACUGCAAGGAGGAGAGCCGAGAGUACCAGGGGAAGUCCGUGCCGAGAGGAGGCCAUCGCCAUUGCAGCUGCAGAGGGCGAUGAGCAGCAUGACAGUGCUCUGUGAGACUGUGACCGUGCGCGUUGCGCCUCCUUAUAUGUUGACCACUACAACAAAUGUGACUAUACAUGACGAAUUUUGGUGACGUUCUAAAAAAUCAUCAUGGAAGUCCCUAAUCUAUGACGGAUUAUAUGUUACUAUUACGUGAGAAAAAAUAGAAUAAGAAAACUGAGCGUCGGCUCCUUCCUAUCCUGUCGACGAAAGCUAGUCGGCAGUCUACCUUGGGGUAUACCCACGGUAGUAGUUUGUCGGUAGACGGUGCGCAAACUACGAACUCGAUGGUGACGCAAGACACGGACAAGCUUUUUAUCCAGGUUCGGCCGCCGAGUUGGCGUAAUACCUACGUCCUGCGUCUGGUUGUAUUGAUUUGUGUUGAGAGAAUCUGAUCUGUCCUAGGGGGGUCCCUUGCCCCUCCUUAUAUAGUCUGGAGGGCAGGGUUACAGAUCUGGAAACUAAUCCUAGUCGGUUACAAUUGCCAUGGAUAAUUCGAUAUCAAUUCCUAUUCUAACCGACCAGAAAUCCUGCUUGAUCUCCACAUCUUGUUUCCUUGCGCGGAACUCCAGGUUGUCGGAUCAAGCUUUGAACUCGUCUCGUAAUGGGCCAAGCCUCCUGGCCCAAGUCCAGUCGUAAGGGUAUAGGGGUUUAUACCCCCACAGCUAGUCCCCGAGCACCAUAUAUUAUGAUGUAACGCCGUCUUGAGCUUCUUCGAUCAGUGAGGCUUGACGUCUUCAGGAAAGUUGCCCGAACAGUUGCAACGGUAUUUUGACCAACUCAAAAGACAGUUGAUCAACAUUGACAUCGAAGAAGCAGGUUGUUCGAAGAAUGCAUGGUGCUCUAAAUUAAAAAAGAUUUCUUUCCUGGUGAAGUGUGCCCACUUUACUUUUUUUUUGAAAGGUAUAAACAUCAAAAAAGCAAGCAAAUUCACCGCAAGGUGAAGUGUGCCCACUUAGUCCCCGAGCCUGGUAGUAGGUGACGCAGGCACGUGGUGCCAGGGUCAAAACAAAAGUCCUCAAAGAAAUUCUGUAACUGAGAUGCAUCGCCAGAUGCAUCGUACCGAUGUAGUCCCCGAGCUUGCUGGAAGGCGAAGUAUGAGCCUUGUAGCAAGGUCUAAAAAGUUGAAUUUACCAGUCUGACUGCAAUUGAAUAGAUCAAUCGACCAGUCACCAAGCACCAAGUGCUUUUUAGAAUUCUGUGUUGCUGUACUGUACGACCAGUCCCCGAGCAUCGAGUGCUCGGUGGUCGGUGCAGUUCUUUAUAGCUUUUGGCUGAUAGACUGGGCGACCAGUCCCCGAGCGUCGAGUGCUCGGUGGUCGGUGCAGUCCUUUAUAGCUUCUGGCUGAUAGACUGGGCGACCAGUCCCCGAACGUCGAGUGCUCGGUGGUCGGUGCAGUCCUUUAUAGCUUCUGGCUGAUAGACUGGGCGACCAGUCCCCGAACGUCGAGUGCUCGGUGGUCGGCGCAGUCCUUGAAAGCUUCCGGGCUGAUAGACUGGGCGACCAGUCCCCGAGCGUCGAAUGCCCGGUGGUCGGUGCAGUCCCCGGAAGCUUCCGGGCUGAUAGACUGGGCGACCAGUCCCCGAGCGUCGAAUGCCCGGUGGUCGGUGCAGUCCCCGGAUUGUUGACUCUCUGGCGUAUGUGUCUUCUUGUUUUUUUUUUUGAAAAAAUCUUUCCGGUUAAAGUUGACGUGACGAGGCCUCCUGACGGGGUGUCAGACGGAUGCAUGAAAAGUUGCGCCUGGCAACUGUGCGGCCGCCCUUUGCAUGGUUUGAGAAAAGGAAACCAUCAAUUGGUACGAAAAAUCCGCCGCAUUAAUUGUCUAUAAUCAUUGUAAACCGAAACGCCGCAUCCGCCGCAUGGCCCGCCCACUUCUCGAGAAUACGGGAAGUGGGAGAGGUGGAGUUGCGGGCUAUAAGAGCCUGAUAGUUCCGCCUGUACUGCUUACCCUGCCAUUGCCUUCAAACCUUCCGCUCUCAUCUCCCUCAAUCGCCUGCAUCUUCCUAACUCAAGCCCACACUCGCACCUCUAAUGGCGAAGAGCGACUCCAGGAAGAGGGCCGAACUGAUGGCCAAGGAGUGGAAGAAGUCUCGCAGCACCACGAAAUCUCUUGGUGACCUCGUCGAUAUGGGGCUUCUGCACGGCCCGGAGCUCGGCGGCUGGAGGGCACCGGAGGGGGAGAGCUACCCCGACCCUCGCGCCGGUGAGAUCGUCGUAUUUGAAGAUUUCAUUAAGAGAGGCUUUGGUGUUCCUCUUCAUCCUUUUCUUCAAGGUCUUCUUUUGUACUAUGAGAUCGGGAUUUGCAAUCUGCACCCGAACUCAAUUCUCCUCAUUUCCACUUUCAUCCACCUGUGCGAAGCCUAUGUUGGCAUAGAGCCGCACUUCGAUCUUUUUCGGUAUCUUUUCUGCUUGAGGAAGAAGGGAGCAGUUGGAGGCUCCAAGGUUGCAGGUGGAGUAUACCUCAACCUUCGUGAUGGAAUGAAGAAUCGCUACCUGCACUGUCCAUGGAACACUUCCUUGACCGAAUGGUACAGGAAGUGGUUCUACAUGAGGGAGGAACCGGGCAGCUCCACAUUCUGCGACGUGGGAUACAUUCCUGAGAAGAGGAUGAGCUGGACCGACCGCCCGGAGUUCGACGGUCCAGUGGCGGAUCUCAUGAAACUGAUCGACUGGUCGCGCCUGGACGGGCUUGGCGUGGUCGGCAACUUCAUUUGUCGUCGGGUGAUGCCCUGCCAGAAGAGGGUGCACUCGGCGUACGAGUAUGCCGGAAGCGUGGACCCGACCAGGAUGCGGCCAGAGAUCUUGGAGAAAGCGGAGGUACAACAGCUGUUGAACGAGCUGUUUAACUUCGCGGACGGAGGCUUCAUCCGUGGCAGUGAUCGGGUGCAAGCCUUCAAGUUAGGACGACCAGCACCAAAGGUAUGUAGCAGAUUAUUUUGUUUUAGCAUUCGUAUAUCGUCGGCAGCUGACUCAUCUCUGUUGCUUUUGCAGAUCGGCGAUGUCGACCGGUGCACAGUGUAUGUAUCACUGGCACCGGGGAUGGAAAAUCCUGCGGGAGAAGACCCGCCAGAGGAGGACGCUGCUCGGUGUACUCAUUACACCAGCAGUGAAGAGGACCAAGCCCGCCCCGUCCCGACCUCCGAGGAGAGGGUAGCGGGGAAGAGGCCAUUGCCGGCAGAUCCUUUGCCGACACCGGAGCUGCCGGCAGAUCUACCGGCGGAGAGCAGCCAAGCACCGAAGCGUCGUCGGCUCGUGCGGAUCGUUGACGACGACGACGACGAGGAGGAGGCUGCGCCGUCGUUGGUCCGACGGCCCCGGGGCCGCCCAGAUAAUGCGCCGGCCGCUACUGAUCGAGUGGCCAGCGACGCCCCUGCACCGCAAGUUGUCGAGAUGGGGGCGCAGGUGCCGACCGGCCGGGCGAGGAGGAGGUUCACCACCACCCACCGCCGAUCAGACCUGUAAGUGUUCGACUUACGUAUUUUGGACUCCUCUUUGAUUUUUUAUUUUUAUUUUUUUUUGAAAUUACACUUUUGUUCCUGUAGUGCGGCGUCGGAUGUCGACCCCGGCCAGGCUGCCAGCCAGGGGACGGGCGAGCCAGUCCACGCUGCUGAGGAUACGGCCCCCCAGACCACAGAGCAGCCAACAGCUGCAGUUGCGCCUGGGAGCACCGAGGGGCUCCCGACCGCGGCACCGACUACGACAGGCAGCCCGACCAGGGCUGGAGAGGCUCCCCCAACUUGCUCCCCAGAGGAGGGAAGAUCUCCGACCGCUCCUCCUGCCGGGGGGAGUGAAGUCCCCACGCCGCCCCGAGCAGGAGCCUCUUCGGCUGCGGGCUCCCCAGGUCUGGUCCGAGGACCAGUAAUACCUGGGACCACCACCGAGGGUGACGCAGCACAGGAGGAGGAAACCCGGGCGGCCUCUGAUGAUGAGGUGGAAGAGAUUGAGGGUCGUCCCCGUGAUGGCCGCCAACACGUGUAUGUGUGGCGCCAACGCGGGGAUCACUUUAUCGGUCAUGAGGAGCUCGCCGAGACCGAAGAGGUUGCCAGGGUGGAGCGCGCGGCCAAAUGCCUCGUCGACGAAGUCAAGGUAAGCGACUUUUUGUACUGCUGUACAUUCUAUGCCUUGUCUUGCAUGGUCGUUAUAUGCUCGCUUUGUAGGGCGCAAUGAAAACGGCAAAGUACCGGAAACAGUGCUUUGACCAGAUAGAAGGCGUCAUGGCCGAGAACAAGGCCCUUGCCGCGGAGGUAGACCGGCUGCGUUCGGAGGUCGGGGAGAAGGUGGCCGAGAUGAGUGUCCAGGAGGAGCGUCGUCUCGACCUCACUCGUCGCUUGGCCGACCAGUACCGGCAGCGAGAAGGUUAGUCACACGCUCCGAGCAGCUUUGCGUACUUGUGUAGUUUGCUUUACUGACCAGUUUAUGGUUCACACAGACUUGGAGGAGGAGGUGGCGCGCCUCCGACAAGAGAAGGAGCAGCUCAGCCAACAGCUCGCCGGUGCGCUGGAGUCCGGGCGGCGAGCAGGAGAGGAAUUGGGACGAAAGGACCGAGAAUUAUCUGGUAAUGGGUGCCGCCUUGUUAACUGCUACUUGUCGCCCCUUUGUUUGUUUAGUAUGCUGAAAAUAAUGCCUUGUUUCGUUUGCAGUGCUCAAGGAGAACGCCAAGAAGCACCUGGAUGAUCUGAUCAAGGACCGGGACUCCUGGAAGGUCAACUGUUGCAGGAUCUGGAAAGGAGUGUCCCCGGUCCUAGACCUGAUCAGUCCCGAGCUCCCGGAGAGCCAGCCCCGCGCGCCGCAGUUGACCCCGGUCGAGAAGGCGCAACGGGCGUGGGACUGGCUCCAGCAGUUUGUGAAGGACGCUGGGGAGUUUGCCGGCGCGCACGUCCUCAGCAUGGUGCGCGCCCACUACCCCCUGGUCGACUUGAGCAGGCUGGAAAAGGGGUACCCGAAGGAAGUCGGCCCUCAGGAAGCGGACGAACUUCGGGGUAGUCUGCUGGACUUGUCGUCGACGGUGAUCGGCGACAUCAAUCUGUGCGGAACGGCCACUCCUCCAGACCAGCCGAGUUCAGAUAGGUCGGCCAGGGAGUUGUCGGGCGCGUCCGUUGCGGGAGAUGGGCGGUCGACGCCUGCGGUCUCGACCAGCCAGGCGCCGGUGGCCCCGACCCCUUCGUCCGGGCAGCAGGGCCAGGCGGGUGAUCAGCCCGAGCAGCUAGGCCAAUAAAGUAGUCUGUAGGAAUAGACUAGUGUCUGCCCGUCAGGGUAUUUAUUGUAAACUUUGUGUGUAAAGUUUGUCAUAAAGUUUGCUUUUUUGUCAUGACUGUUGUUUUGAGCGCUGUAAGAAUAUCUGAGUGACGUGUCACCGUAUUCGUCUCGGUAGUCGCUAGGAGCAUCCAUUGCAGGAGUUUUGCCGAGUGCUGUGUGCGACAAGGUAUAGGCAAAAAAAAAUAGAGAAUUUCAUUAUCAAAAAUUAUAAGAUACUUACAAAGGAAAAUUAUCAAAACUUUAUGGAUAGAAACGUCGCAGUUUGUCGAUGUGCCAAGAGUUAGGCACUCGUGUUCCGUCUGGGUAUGCCAAUCUGUAGGAUGUGGGUCGUGUGACCUCGGUCACCACGAAAGGUCCUUCCCAGGGAGUGGAUAGCUUGUGCAUUCCCUCCUGGCUUGUUUUCCAUCGAAGUACCAGAUCGCCGACCACAAAGGAACGGUCUUUGACGUUCCUGUUGUAGUAUCGCCUGACUGCCGUGAGAUAUUUUGCUGUUCGGAGACAAGAAUCUAAACGCUUUUCCUCCAUGCAAUUGAUUUCGAGUUCUCUGGCGUUGUCGGCGGUCGCCUGGUCGAAGUGUUCGAUUCUAGGAGAUCCGAAGUGUAUGUCGGACGGCAGGACCGCCUCUGCACCGUACACCAUGAAGUAGGGAGACACCCCUGUGUUUCGACUGGUCUGAGUUCGGAGGCCCCAGAGCACUGCCGGCAAUUCUUUCAUCCAUCGACCGGGUGCUCUGUCGUUUUCGGUGUACAACCUUUUCUUUAGGGCGUCAACGAUCAUUCCGUUAGCGCGUUCAACUUGACCGUUGGCACGUGGAUGUGCCACUGACACGUAUUUUAUGACUAUACCUCUGUCAUCGCAGAAGUCCCAAAAAGUGGUGCCAGUAAACUGAGUGCCCAGAUCGGUGAUUAUGCUGUUCGGGAUGCCGAAUCUGUGUAUGAUUUGAUUGAGGAACUCCACAGCCUUCUCGGAGGUUGCCUUGACCAUGGGCAUGUAUUCAAUCCACUUGGAGAACUUGUCGAUUAACACGAAGACAAACUUGAAAUUGCCCGGGGCUGGUUUAAAUGGUCCGAUCAUGUCAAGCCCCCAGCAAGCAAAGGGCCAAGACGACGGGAUGGUUUGAAUUUCAUGGGCAGGUACGUGGGUCCUCUUAGCGAAAAACUGACAUCCUUCGCAAUGUCGAACCAGUUUUUCUGCGUCGCCGACCGCGGUUGGCCAAUAAAAACCUGCUCGGAAAGCCUUUCCGACCAACGUUCUAGAUGCGGCGUGAUUGCCGCAGGAUCCAGCAUGUAUGUCCUCUAAGAGCUUGAUACCAUCAUCUUGGGGUAUGCACUUGAGCAGUACUUCGGAGCUUGCGUUUUUCCGCAUGAGUUUUCCGUCGACCAGGAUAUAGUUCUUUGAUCGUCGGAUGAGGCGCUCGUUCUCUGUUUUGUCCUGAAAACCUGUCCCGUCUGAUAUGUAUUUGAUGAACGGGGUACGCCAGUCACGCCCACCGGUUGUCGGAGUGGCGUCGUCUAUGAGCAUUGCCUCGGUGGGUUGCUUGUCGACCAGGGAGGAGCCUACGCUCGGCUCAUGGAUGUCCUGGACGAAAAUACCCCGCGGGAUUUGGGCCCGAGAUGAGCCUAACUUUGACAACGCAUCUGCUGCUUGGUUCUUAUCCCGGACCACGUGGAUGUAUUCUAUGCCAUAGAAGUUGGUUUCCCAUUUGCGAAUUUAUUUGCAGUAGAGAUCCAUCUUCUCGUGGGUUGCGUCCCACUCCUUGUUGAGCUGGUUGAUGACCAAAGCGGAGUCGCCAUAGACAUAGAGGCGCUUGACCCCCAGUUCAACGGCUAGUCUUAUGCCAUGCAAGCAUGCUUCGUAUUCGGCGACGUUGUUUGACGCCGGAAAAAGGAUCCGAAGGACGUAACGCAGCUUGUCCUUGUUGGGUGAUACGAACAGUAUCCCAGCGCCGGCACCGUUGAUGUUCAAGGACCCAUCAAAGAACAUUGACCAGUGGUCUGAGACAUCGGGAACGGGAGGCUCAUUGAGAUCCGUCCAUUCAGCAAUGAAAUCGACCAGGGCCUGAGACUUGACCGUAGUUCGGCUCUGGAACUCCAGCGAAAAUGGGCACAAUUCCAUCGCCCAUUUCAUGAUUCUGCCAUUGGCGUCUUUAUUGCGUAGGAUGUCCCCGAGAGGGAAACUAGUUGUCGCCAGGACUCGAUGGCCGUCGAAGUAGUGCUUCAGCUUUCUUGAUGUUAUCAGAAUGGCGUAUAUGAGCUUCUGUAUUUGUGGAUACCUGGCCUUGGACUCGUUUAGGACUUCACUUAUGAAGUAAACGGGUCUCUGGACCUUGUAGGCGUGACCUGGUUCAUCUCGCUCGACCACUAUUGCCGUGGAAACAACCCUGUCGGUUGCAGCAAUGUAAAGAAGUAGGUCUUCAUUGGGUUGGGGCGCUGUGAGGACAGGUGGUGAAGUGAGGAAGGUCUUAAGCUGAGUGAACGCAGCGUCGGCUUCCUCCCAGCCUUGAGAUGAAACGCUCGACCAAGAAAAUUUUUCUGACGCUUUCAAUAGUUUGAAGAAAGGGAGGCCUUUUUCUCCCAGCCUUGAGAUGAAACGACUGAGGGCGGCCAUGCAUCCGGUUAGCUUCUGAAUGUCCUUGAUGUUCUUCGGUGGUCGCAUGUCGAGUACGGCUUUGACUUUUGAAGGGUUUGGUCGUAUGCCGUCGCGACUGACGACGUUGCGGAGCAGUAGACCGGAAGGAACGCCGAAAAUGCAUUUCUUGGGGUUGAGCUUCCACUUGUACCUAUUGAGUGCCUUGAAGGUUCGGUCUAAGUUGUCGAUUAGGGUGCUCGCGUCCCUUGUUUUUACGACCACGUCGUCCACAUAGGCCUCGACGAGGUCAUCGCGAAUCUCGUCGUGGAGGCAUUGCUGGAUGGCCCUUUGAUAAGUGGCCCCGGCGUUUUUGAGUCCGAAAGACAUGGUCGUGUAGCAGUAUGCGCCGAAGGGUGUGAUGAAGGAUGUUUUGAUCUGAUCCUCUUCCUUUAGCGAGAUCUGGUGAUAACCAGAGUAGCAGUCUAGAAAGGAGAGGAGUUCGCAUCCGGCCGUUGAGUCGACCACCUCGUCGAUGCGAGGGAGACCAAAAGGAUCUUUAGGACAGUGUUUGUUAAGAUCAGUGUAAUCAACGCACAUUCUCCAUUCAUUAUUCUUUUUGCGUACAAGAACCGGAUUGGCGAGCCAAUCGGGGUGAUACACUUCUUUUAUGAAUCCGGCUGCUAGAAGCCGUGUUAUUUCUGCCCUAAUAGCCUCCUUUUUGUCACGAGCGAACCGUCGCAGUUUUUGCUUGAUUGGUCUUGCGGUCUUCGAGACAUUUAAGGAGUGCUCGAUCAGGUUUCGUGGGACACCGGGCAUGUCUGCGGGUUUCCAUGCGAAAACGCUCACGUUGUCCCCUAGAAACCUGACGAGCGCGUCUUCCUAUUUUGGAUCCAGGUUGGCCCCGAUGAGGGCUGUUUUCUCGGGGUUGCCUUCGACCAGCUGCACUUCUUUGUACUCCUUGGAUUUUGAGUUCUUCCUGGCUGUCGCCUGUUCGGGUAAUUGGAGCUGGUCGGGAGGUAGCUGUGCGGCUUGGUUUGUUGUUUCCGCCAUGCGGAUUGAGAGGUCGAUUGCCUCGGUGAUCUUGAAGCUUUCUUCUUCGCAGGUGUACGCAGUGUAGACGUUGCCUCUGACGGUUAAGACGCCCUUCUCCGUGGGCAUCUUAAGGACCAGGUAUGAGUAGUGCGGGACUGCCAUGAACUUUGUCAGCGAUGGGCGGCCCAGUAUGGCGUGAUAGGUCCCGUCGAAAUCCGCGACUACGAAGUUGAUGAACUCCGUCCGGAAGUGGUCGGGUGUGCCGAAUUGGACAGGCAAUGUUAUCUGUCCGAGGGGCACUGAACUUUGACCUGGCAAAACCCCCCAGAAUUGGGCGUCGUAAGGUUUUAGUUGUGCCGGUGGUAUCUUGAGGGCGGGCAGGCUGUUGCGGAAGAGGAUGUCGAUGGAGCUUCCCCCGUCCACGAGCACGCGCUCGAAUCUGAUGCUGUUGAUGCAGGGGUCAAGAAUCAGUGGGAAACGACCCGGCUCUGGGAUAGCGGCCCACUGGUCCUUUCUGCUGAACGAGAUCUCCCUGUGGGACCACGUGGGAAAUUUCGGAUCUGCGAUCAGCCCGUCCGUGCUGUCUAUGUUGAGGCAGGCUCUCUUUAACAGCUUUCUUUCUCGCUUGGACUCAGUGGAGACCUUGCCCCCGAAAAUGGAGUGGACCACGUCAGUGGGGCUGACGUAUUGGUGUCGGGGGUCCCUAUCUUGGUCCUCAUCCUCAUCUUCGUGGUCGUGCCCGUCGCGCUUGUUAUUUUUCUUGGCGGAGUCCUCUUGGGCGGCCCGCCGUGUAUAGAUACUUUUGAGGACGCGGCACUCUUCCAUGGUAUGAUUGGACUUUGGGUGUAGCUGGCAUGGUCCCUUCAACGUUUUGUUGUAGUCUUCUUGGUAGUCCCGUCGUCCAUUGGGACGUUUGACCGUAUUUACUUCGUGGUCGUAGUCGCGAGGGCGCUUUCCUCUGAAGUCGUCGCGGCUGUCGCGCCGCCGAUCCCAACCCUCUCGGUGAUCGCGGUUGUCGGAGCGGCGGUGAUUUCUGUUGUCGUAGCGACCACGACCGUCAUCUCGCCGGGGAGGCUGGUCGGGGCCUCUCGCAUCGUCUCGGAUUAGUUUUUCUGCGUCAUCGGCAUCGGCGUAAUUUUUGGCCGUGGCGAGGAGCUCUGCUACCGUUGAUGGGCGCUUACGCAACAGCUUGUUCCUCAGCGCUUCGUGGAAACGCAAGCCCUUGAUGAAGGCUGAGAUGGCCUCGUCAUGAGAAAUCUUCGGGAUUUUGAGGCGCAUAUCCGAAAAUCGUCGGAUGUAAUCGCGCAGAGGUUCAUUCUUCCUGUCCCUUAUUCUUUCAAGGUCAUACUUGUUUCCAGGCUGCUCGCAUGUGGCGAUGAAGUUGUCGAUGAAAGCCUGGCGUAGCUCUUCCCAAGAGUCGAAGGAGUCCUCGGGCAAGCCGAGAAGCCACUGAUGACCAGCCUGGUCGAGGACUACGGGGAAGUAGUUAGCCAUGACAUGCUCAUCUCCUGCCGCUGAUCGGACUGCGAUUUCAUAGAGGGUGAUCCAGUUCUCUGGAUUUUCCUUGCCGUCGUAUUUUUUAAGUUUUUCGAGCUUGAAAUUGCGAGGCCACACGACCUGGCGGAGGUGUGAGGAGAACUGUCUUAGGCCCGGAGGACCGUGGGUUGCAUCGUACUCGAUGCGGCGCAGGUUUUCGUGGACUGCUCUCUCUACGGCGCGCCUGUUGAUGCGGUCCCGGGCAUCUUUGGAAGGGAUGUUGUGGCGGAGAUCCCUGUGUUGAUCUUCUUCUUGGCCGCGUACGCGGUUCUGCUUGCGGCGGCCAUCGGCGUCCCGACCACCAUCGUCGCGGCGUGAGUCCCCUCGACGGUUGUCGGGGGAGCGGCUGCGGUGACGCCUGCUGGGUGAGACCUGGCUACGAUUAGUCUGGUCGGAGGCGGCUUCUGUGUAAGAAACGUCCUGGACUCUCUUGAGCAGAGUGGCUGUCUGUCCCAUUGCGGCGAUCAGGUGCGCUCGGAUGCUGGUCCGGACUCCCUGGCAUUCGGGGGUGUCAGGAAGCCGAUCCAGGUUAGCCAUGGCGACAGCCACGUUGGCGCUUGGCGUUUUGUAGACUGGCUGGUCCCCGACCAUGUCAAAGGCAUCGUUGAGGUUAUUUGGUGGCAUCUGUUGUUGCUCGUCCGCACGUCGUCGGGCGCGAUCGGCGUUACGCUGUUCGCGGAGUUGCCUCUGGUCAUCUGUUUCUCCGUCAACGGCCGGUUCAUCGGCGCUGACAUUGAACACAAUAUCCCCUCGCCGGGGGGGGGAAUAUCGGGAAUCGGUCGAAACCCGGAGGGUGUGAAGGAAAAUCCAGGUCGUAGCCCUCGUCUUCGGUGUUUAUAACCUCGGUGGGGACGGAGCCGGUGCUUGAGUUGGUGCUGGAAACCCGGCCGUCCCGUAGCUCUCGGAUUGUCACCAUGUUGACAUGGUGACGAUUGUUCCUUGUCGGCGACCAACCCGCCUUGCUGAAAACGGAUUGGACAUGCUGUGAGUAAACAGAGGCCGAGUUGUUCAGGCCGCAAGGAUAGUCUUCCUUCUUGAGCUCGACGGAUCGUCCUGAGGGGGUUGAGGUUAUCGUCAGGGACGUUCCCAGCCGUUCGUGUGUGGCGACACGAGUUGGCCGGCGGGAUUUCGAAAAAUCCGCUCGAGCAGCUUGGUCGGGCCGGCGCAGAACUCCAUCUAUUAGUUGGGAGACUUCGAGUAGCUUGGAGUCAGCGCGAUCGAGCGCUCGGAGAAGGUCCGAGCAGUCGAUCUCCUUUCCCUUGUAGAGUGGGAACGGUGGUCGGGCGCUUGGUGCCGUCUUGCGUGUAGUCGGAGACGGCGCGAUCUCAGAUUGGAUCUGGAUCUCUUUCGGAACCGUGGUCGCGAAGCCGCCGCUGCACGUCGUCCACGUGAUCUGGCCGACAGUGAACGUGAGGCCUUCGGGCACGGUCGCGGAAGCUGGGAUCGUGACCAUCUUGUUCGCCGGAAAAGUUGCACGCACACCCCCUACCUGGCGCGCCACUGUCGACGAAAGCUAGUCGGCAGUCUACCUUGGGGUAUACCCACGGUAGUAGUUUGUCGGUAGACGGUGCGCAAACUACGAACUCGAUGGUGACGCAAGACACGGACAAGCUUUUUAUCCAGGUUCGGCCGCCGAGUUGGCGUAAUACCUACGUCCUGCGUCUGGUUGUAUUGAUUUGUGUUGAGAGAAUCUGAUCUGUCCUAGGGGGGUCCCUUGCCCCUCCUUAUAUAGUCUGGAGGGCAGGGUUACAGAUCUGGAAACUAAUCCUAGUCGGUUACAAUUGCCAUGGAUAAUUCGAUAUCAAUUCCUAUUCUAACCGACCAGAAAUCCUGCUUGAUCUCCACAUCUUGUUUCCUUGCGCGGAACUCCAGGUUGUCGGAUCAAGCUUUGAACUCGUCUCGUAAUGGGCCAAGCCUCCUGGCCCAAGUCCAGUCGUAAGGGUAUAGGGGUUUAUACCCCCACAUAUCCCCUCCCUUAUCCUCUCACGGUCUCUCCUUUGGUCCUUCCCAUGUCGACUCCAUGUGGGUGGCCGCCGUUCUUCUCUUCCAAUCAAAUCCACGACGAGGAGGCCACACCCUUCUCCUCCGGCCAGAUCCAUGCCAUGGGAACCUCCCUUCUUCUUCUCCAGCCAGAUCCACGACGUGGUGGCCGCGCCCUUCUACCCCAGCCAGAUCCAUGCCAUGGGAACCUCAGGAAGCUCCGCCGCCUCAUCCUUGAUGCCAAGCUCACGCCCUUCCACCGGGGCGCCGACGACGCGCGCGCCGACCUCGACGAGUGCCCCAUCUACUUCCUGGUAACCAUCCUCUUCCCCAUCUGCCCCAGAUGCAGUUCUACACUAAUUACUCCUCGUUAUGCUGCUCUGUGGCGACGCCGAGGCAUCCGGGCCUUCCUCCAGAUUUCAUCUCCAAGGACGUAGGUCCCCGGCUGCUGCGCGUGCCGUGUCGUACAACUCCCCAAGCAAGGAGGAGCCGCCAGUCCUGUUGCUCCUCCAUUUUCUAUAUGUGAGUAUAGUAGUUUCUGAAACUAACAGCCGGAUUUCUUCAUCUAAAUUGCAUCAGUUCCUAGAUGUACUACAUGCUGCUGCUCUCAACGCACUGGGAUAUGAUGCACUUAUGGUUGAUUUAACUGAAAUGCUUAAUGAUUUGUGCUCAACGGAUUUCUGGAACUUUUGUAACACUGAAGUUACUGAAUUUGAGUUCUUGUAACUGAAUUGCAUGUGACUUUGUUUGACGAGUGGCUGCUUGGACAAUACUUUGAUAAAUAAACAAAGGUAUGUGCUAUAAUUUAUUAUUUGGCACAUCUAAUCGAUAUAGUAUACAAUCUUCAUAUCUAUUAUUUGUAUAUAGGUAAACAUAGUCCAAUGCAGAAACUAUCAUGACACUCCAAAACAAUUCUGUCCCAUGAUUUUGCUUCAAGUAAGGUUGAAAUUAAUUCUUAUAGCAUUAUAUGAUGUGAUUAUCUUGCUGUAUGGAACUCUGAAACUAUGCAUUGGUGCCAAAAGUGUUGGUUGUUUACUUGUUAUCUGUUUUCAGAAUUUUGGACUAGCAUAUGUAUUGAAUUUGUUAACUAGUUUCAAAGCUUCCUAAUAAAUAGAUGACAUUUCUUUUUAGAAUCUUUGCUAGCAAAUCUGACUUAUAUUUGUUUUGAUUUUCAGGUAGCACAUCUUAUGGACAGCAAGUGAAUUGAAGUGCUCGUGAAUACUAAUGUUUAGUUGUUUAGACUCCCUAGAUAUCAAAUCUUUUAGUUCAAACUUAGAUAUUGUGAUAGUCACUCUAAUGGUUGUGAGCUAGGCCAAUCUGUGGCUUGAUGUUCAAUGUGGCUGUUGUGGACAUGCUAGUACAUGAAUGAAUUAUUGUUUGGUGAAUCUUACGAGUUGUGAUGCAUGUUGAUGAAGUGAUGAUUUGGCACUUAUUUUUUAUGUUCUUUUCAUCACUAUGCUUUGGAUGUGGGCUUGGAUCUGGGCUGGUUAUAGAAGAUAGACAACUAACCCAUGACGAUCACAUAUCCUAAUCUAUGACGGCUCAAUUAGAUCCAGCAAAUGUAUGACGUGAGAUACAUGACAGAUUUUUCGAUCGUCAUGGCAAGUUAACUGUGACGUAUUUUUGACUGUCUGUCACCAAAGUGAUCGUCAUGUAAAGCACCAUUCCUUGUAGUGGACAGACGUCGAGGCUGUGGCGAAGUGCAGGAGCUGGAGUGGUGGUGGGUGGUGAGAUGCAGGCUGGAACGGUCGGGAGAGUAACGCAGGGUCGAGGCGAUGCGUGAAGGGAACUGUGACGGCGACGUGAGUAGUGAGAGCGGGAGGAGUGGCAUGGCAGCUGCUGGACAUCUCAGUCGGCGGCUGUAUCGUUUUCCUCAUGUAUACUAUACCCUUGUUAUCGUCAAAGCUGGGUCGUUUGCUCUUGGGGCUCACGGAUCGAUCCUAGGUUGAACACCUGUGUGUCCUUAAUUUGGCUUAAAGGAAACAGUACUGACGUACGUACGUGGACACACCGUUUGCAUAGUUGCUGCUCAUCACUUCAUCAGAAAUAAAAGUUCUCAUUGCUUGCUCGCCUUUAUCGGGGCAAGCGUAUUCUUGGCACCAAGCAGCCAUAACGAGCCGAGAGGGAUGGCUGCUGCCUGCUGUUAUCUGAAAAUAUUAAUCUACAGUACAUUCUACUCAUGGCAAAAUCUUUAUCUGAAAGGAAUAAAAGGAACGUUUGUUUAGUUGUGACUUGAGAUCGCCAUUCUGCUGCGUCGACUGCACUCGUUUUUCUAAGGCCUUGUUUAGAGCCCGUACGGCCCUGUGCGAUUGAACUAGGCCCUCUUGAGAUCGCCAUUCUGCUGCGUCGACUGCACUCGUUUUUCUAAGGCCUUGUUUAGAGCCUGUACGGCCCUGUGCGAUUGAACUAGGCCCUCCAAAUUUAUGGGCCUUAAAAUUUAUUGAGCGUCCUAAGUAUAUAUAAUAAUUUUAAAUUUGUUUUAAUUAGUAAAUUAGUCACAUACUCAAUAAAAGUGGCCCGCUACUUAUUUCAAGAGAAAGUACAUUGAGUCUAUAAUCCUGAGUUAGAAAAGUCUAUGAUCGGUAAUUCUUCUUCACGUAAGUUUGUAACCCUUCGUGAGUUUGUGACUUCAUCGCUUGGACUUGUUGCUCGCUCUUGGUGUUGUUUGUCGCUCAAGAGUCGAGACCUAGUAGCAACCUUAGACGGCCGGACCCAAAUCAGGACACCAGACGGAGAUCAUUGCCUAGUAUAAAUUUCAUGCACAACCCCUAUUUUAUUUAGUUAAUCUUUUAUACAUUGCCUUUGUAAUAUAUUAAUAUUUGAUAUUAUCUUUUUUAGAUUUUGACAAUAUAUAUUAGACCUCUACUUGUUGUUUUGAACUGGGCCUCAUAUUUAUCCGGGACGUGCCUGCAUAUAUGGAGCAUUAAAUAUAGAUAAAAAAUAACUAACUGCAUAGUUUGCAAGAUGAUUCAUUUAAGCCUAGUUAGUUAGUCCAUAAUUGAACAAUAAUUGUCAAAUACAAACGAAAGUGCUACGGUAGAUAAACCUAAAAAAUUUUAGAGAUACAUACAUCUUUUUUUCCUUGGUUUGCUUGGUAUACUGUAUUUUGAGGCGCCUCAAGUCAAACUGCAAAUUAAGUUUUUAGAUGUAUUUAUAUUGCAUUUUUGUAGUUUAUCUAUUUGACGUUAACACUUUGUUUUAUAAGUUUAGUCAAACUUUGAAUAGUAACAUGCUUCGUGUGAACAACGAUAUCACACAAAGUCACAACAUGGCGUGGUCUUAUCUUCGAGUUGAAGAGACGAUUAUAAAUGGCAUUCAUCCUUGAGUCACUUAGAAGAGGAGACGACUCGUCGGAAAUAUUUUGCUUCUUCGGAAGAGCAGGCUACCGAUCAGGGGUGGAAAGGUUGUUUCACAGUUGGUGGGGGCAUCAUCGCGCCGAGGCUAAAAAUUCUUUUUUUUUUUGUAUACAUAUAACGGCUAGUGAAAGUGUAGCAUACACAAGUUCUCACUCUCACCGUUGCCAAUGGAUUGGCUUCAAAGCGAGACAGAGUCCUAUACGAAACAAAAGUUCGUUUGCCGGCGCCCACGGAGUCGUCACCAACUGACCAUGCAUGGUUCCCAUACCGAACAUGGUUUCUAACAUAGAAAUGGACACAUCCUGAUAGAACUGAACCACACGCACAGUUAACCAGCCACACAGCAUACGAUCAAUUAAUUCUACAAAUGCAAUGUCAUUUGCAUAGCACGUAUAUGGUGAUAUAGGUAGUUUUCUUUUUAUUUUUCUACCGAAGCCACUCCUGUCCACCAACCCAACCUUUGGUGAUGAACGGUGCAGCUUGAGCCUGCGACAUGUCGUGAGACCACGCUACUCUUCCGUCAGUCUUGGAGCCUUCCCCGUAGCACUGGUACUGCCCGUAGAACGCUGUCCUGCACGGCCACAUUAUUAUUGAACCAGAAACACGUCAGGAACGAUCGGAGAACGAACGUACGCUACGCGAGAAAUCGUUUCAGCUAGCAGCAGCAGCUGUAGUGCGCACAGUGCACCUCUGCCUCUGUUUGUCGCCGUCGGUCCAGUCGUCCCAGCCCUGGGGCCUCACCGUGCUGGACAUGUAGCUGAGCGCGAAGACGACGCGGGAGUAGGGACCCCAGGGUCGCCCCAGGAUGGACGUGCCGGCCCCGAGCCCCGUCAGCUUGCACCCCACGAAACUGAACCCGGUGUCCUCCGACUCCGACCACCGUUUAUGCGCCGUGAACGCGCCGCCGGCCGCCGACACGGAGUGGAGGUGGCACUUCUGCAUGCGUACGACGACAUCAGUUUGAUCGAGUAACAGAAAUAAUAUGGAUUUUUGAUGAUGGAUGGAUCGAUCGACAGGGUAUAUACGCACAUCGAACAGAGCCUUGCCAUUGCCGAAGAUGAAGUCGGUGGCACCUUGGACGUAGCAGCCGCGGUAGUAAUGGCGGCCCGUGUCGUCCAGGAGCGUGUCCUGGAACGACACGAACCUGCACCCGUAGAACGCCGCCCUGUCUCCGGCGACCCUCAUGGCGACUGCCGGCCCGCUACUCCCAAACGUGUUCUGCAUUGCAAAUGAAUAACGGAACCAAUCAAGACCGUGCUACGUAUGUAUGCUAAUAAAGUACAUGAACCAAUUAAUCAAAAGACUGCAUAUAUUUGCACACCUGGAACGCUAAGCGCUUGGCGAUGAAGUCGGAGGCUAGCACGGAUACUGUCGGGCUCUCGGAGGCCACCCAGGACUCGUUCCAGGUGAUGAUGGUCGAGCUGGCGCUCGUGCCCACGAGAGUUAUGCAAGGCUUGUCCACCACCACUUUCUCUCUGCACAAAUUGGAGUGCAAACCAAACGUAGCACUAGAGAUUAGCUUUGAUCCUUUUUUUUAAAAAAAAAGAGAGAGAGAGAGAGAGAGAGAGAGAGAGAGAGAGAGAGAUUAGCUUGAUGAUCAACAUGUGGAUCCAGAAAUGAGCGAGCAUGCAUGCGUGUGUACACGCCAGAUCUCGAGCGAGAGAGCGAGCUAGCAUCGUCGCGUUCACCACUACACUUGCCUGUAAACUCCCGGCUUGAUCCGGAUGACGACGCCGCCGCCGCCGCUGCCGGAGCCACCCGCCGGUGCCGCAUCGAUCGCGUCCUGGAUCCUCCUAUGGUCGCCUUUGCCGGACUGGUCGACCAGGAGGACGAGCUGCCGCGACCGCGAGCCCGUCGUCAGCAUAUCGCCGCCCACGCCGUCGUCUUCAGUGGCUGCGCAUGCAGAAGCUGCAGGCGACGAGAGCCAGCAGCCCUGCUGCUGCCCGGCGGCGCCUUGGCGCGAUUUAACAACAUGCUAGUCCCGAGUCCCCGACGAUGAUGAUGAGUCGACCGUAAGGCAUGGAGCUCGCUUUCGCGCGAACCGGUGCACCAACCAGGCAAGUAUAUAUGUAUAUAUAAUAUAUAUGUGUAGCCAGGUCAACUGCUGGCUAAAUACGCAAGCUUUGCCGAGAGCCAGACCCUCGGCAAAGACAACCUUUGCCGAGAGCCCUGUCAUCCUCUCGGCAAAGAGCCUUUGCCGACGGCCAGGCUCUCGGCAAAGAGGGGCUCUAGGCAAAGGUCAGCUUUGCCGACAAGCCCUCGGCAAAGAUACCGUGCCGUAAACGGCUGCCGUAGUCAUCACCUUUGCCGAAAGCCGUGCCGUUAGGCUCUCGGCAAAGAGGUGACCUUUGCCGAGGGCAACUGCAGGCCCUCGGCAAAGACCCCGUUCAUGUUUUGCUCCCGUCCGAGUCGGAGUUUUGGCAGUACCUCCCCGUUGUUCUCCGGAUACACACUCUCCUUGCUAGGACGUGUACUAGGGGUGAGGCGCUAGCGACUUCGAGGAGUGAUAUUCAUGUGGACUUGUGGUUUAUGUUAUGAACUUGUGGUUUAUGUUAUGAACUUAUGGUUUAUGUUGGACGUAAUGUUAGAUUUGUCAUAUCUAUGUGGAUUUGUGAUAUCUGUGGACUUCGAUAUGUUUCAUGUGUGAUAUAUAUGUGGAUUGUGAUAUAGACAAAGGGAUUUGUGAUAUAUAUAUAUACAUAUGUGGCUGUGCAUGUAAAAAACAGAGAAAAAAUAAAAAACAAAACUAAAUUCCCAGCUUUGCCGAGAGCCUGGAUGGCUGGCAUUCGGCAAAGAUAGAAAGCCGGGUUCAGAAGAACUACAGCUUUGCCGAGAGCCUGGUUGUCUAGCUCUCGGCAAAGGGGUUCUUUGUCGAGAGCCUGGCUGUCUGGCUCUCGGCAAAGGUGGUCUUUGCCGAGAGCCUUCCUGCAGGGCUCUCGGCAAAGAACCCCUUUACCGAGAGCCAGACAGCCAGGCUCUCGGCAAAGGCUUUUUUUUUAAAAAAUAAAGAAUCUUUGCCGAGAGCCUGCCAGCACGGCUCUCGGCAAAGACGACGUCAAUAUUGACGUUUCUCGACGGCGCCGUAGGCUUUGCCGAGAACGUUUCUAGCCCUCGGCAAAGUCUUUGCCGAGAGCCUGCCACGUGGCUCUCGGUAAAGAAUUUUUUGCCGAGAGCUUCUUUGCCGAGAGCUCUUUGCCGAGAGUCACGUGGCAGACCCUCGGCAAAGCCUUUGCCGAGAGCUUUUAGGCCUUUGCCGAGAGCUCUAGGCUCUCGGCAAAGAAGCCGGAUCCAGAAGUAUAGGUUGCAAGUACGAGAGUGUAUGCUUGCGCGGAUGGGCGUGCGGUGUUCCGUUACGCGAGUUGGUGCCAAACUAGAUACGCACAGGCACUGGUUGGUGCCUGAUGACACUAUUAGCUCUAGUACCGUCGGGAAAUCCACGCACAUAACGUUUGGACGAAGAUAUUCAUCAUUUCACGGGAGCGCCAACUGCUGGUCUAAUAACCAGCUAGCAGGCGUGCAAUGGCGGAAUGCGCGCGAAAAGUGUUCGGGCCGGGUAGCUUCACUUGGAGCAAAGGAAUUGAAUUUGCUGAUGAUGAUCGGUAAAUACUGAUAUAUAGUACUCCCUCCAUCCUAAAUUAUAAGUCGUUUGAAUUUUGUUACCCUAAGUUUGACCACUCGUCUUAUUCAAAAAAUUUGUGCAAAUAUAAUCAAAUUUAAGUCAUUUUUGAAGAACUUUUAUUAAUAAACCAAUACACAACAAAAAAAAUGAUAUUUUGUAUAAAACUUUAAAUAAGACAAGUGGUCAAACUUGAUAUUAAAAAAGUCAAACGACCUAUAAUUUAGGAUGUAUUGAGUACUUGGCUUGUUGCGUCGGUCCAAUCCACAUGCAUAUGUAAAAGGCUACGUAGAGAUAUGUACAGUUGCGGUCAUCGUAACUAGACUAGAUGCACAUCUUGGCUGUUAUGGAAUUUUUCCAUUUGCAUUUUUGUCCGCGACGACUGUGGGCUGGUCGAAAUGUUUUGCGGUGUUCAGUGUGUUGCUUAAAGUUUGUGCUACACUGUGGGCUGGUCGAAAUAGUUUUUUAAUUAGUGUCUUGUUUGAAUCCCCAUCAAAACUUGCAUCUAGACCCAUCCCACUGCAAAUAACAUAGGUGACAUACAUUCAUAUAUGUUCUUAAAUUUAUGGGUAGACGUUAGGUACCCGAGGGUAAAUUUUAAUACUAACAUCUAUCGCAUUUUUUGCGAGUACCCGACCUUUAUGCGCAACUGUGGGUAAAUUUUUAUGCCCGUGUUCAUACUCAUUGGAUACUAAAUCCACAGGUAUCUGCACCUGUGUAUAAAAGUGCAGACAUAACAGCACCAAAGCUACAUGUUAACUAGAGGGUGCAAAUGCACCUCCAAAAAUUAUAAAACAGUGAUUAGAUUCAAAAUUUCAUCAUAUAUGCAUCUCCCAUAUAAGAUGUCUAUGGAUUCACAAGUUAAGUGCACCCUUCUCUAAUUUGCUCUAGCUUCGCCACUAUUCAACACCCCACAUUGCAUUUUAUUGUAUUUUUAAGAUAGAUUUCUGUAAAAUCAAAUAUAAAAAAGAAAUAAAAAACACCAACCAAAUACUUUAGAUGCUCGCAAACAAUCAUUCAAUAGUUGGGGGUCAAAAAAACCCUCGGGGUUUCAAGGGAAAAGGAAAAGAUCUUUCUUUGUACAGGUCCUUUGUCAAUCUCAUUACUGACAAGUGACAGAUAGAUCUUUCUGUCACCAUUUUAUAUUUCUGUUUUCUCUACUUAGUUAACAAAAAAAAUUUAUUUUUUUUUAAGAUUUUCUGUCACAUCGAAUCUCUAGACGCAUGUAUACAACAUUAAAUAUAGAUAAAAAAUAACUAAAUGCAUAGUUUAUCUGUAAUCUGUGAGAUCAAUCUUUUGAGCCUAGGUAGUUCAUAGUUAAACGAUAAUUAUCAAAUACAAAUGAAAAUGCUAAGUAGCCAAACUCAAAAAUUUUCACCAACUAAACUACCAGCUGUCUGAAGUACUGCAAGCUGCACCUCUCCGGCGUUGCUUUAUAUUUUUUUAAAAAAAGUUUCUUGCCAUCUUUUUUUUCCUCGACCGUGCAUUGGCACGUUCAAUACUUCAAUCCUGCUAUUUUGAGGCCGUUUGGAAUAUGGGAUUUUCCCCUUGUUUCUGUAUUUUUCUAUAAAAUUAAGGGUUUGUUUAGUUCUCCAUUUGAGUCAAAUUUUUUUUUGAGUUUCAGCCUAGCAUUUUGCAUAAUAGAACUAAACACCAUCCAAAACUUUUUAGCAAAAUUAUUGCCAUUUUUUUCAUUCUGGAUUUUGGUCUCGAGAGAAAAAAAUGCCCAAAAGAGCCUUCCAAUCUUAAGGAAUUAAACAUUUGUAUGGAUCUAAAUAUAACCUUGAAAAUUUUGGCAUUUUGCAUUUCAUAAUUCUAAAGUAGUUGAUAUUUUGCAUUUUGUAUUCCAUGAGCUAGGAACUAAGUAGGGGUUAAUUUGUACAAUUCUCGUAUUAUUUUUGAGAAAUUUCUGCGUUCUAAACAGGGUGUUUCUUCAUAAACAAAAAAAAAAACAAAAAAAAAGAGGACGAGAAAAACAGAGCUGACGAAAUGGAGUCAACUGUCAAGGAACUUUUCUACCAUUUUUCUGUUUAAGGCACGAAAUCUUCCUAGCUUCCUCUUGGUGUGCACGGAAGUGAUCAGAGGAAGCAACCUCUGCAACGCAAGAAACAACAUUCAGCGGCCUGAACUUGUAAACUAUCACCCGAGAUUCCUUUCUUCCCUCGAAAUGGCAAAGGCAGGCACCAAUUCUUGUUUGCCAUCUAAGGGAGAAAACUUGCAUCAUAACUUCAUAGGAGGCGACCCAUCGUAAGCUUCAGCAGCUGAUCGGAGAACUCACCCGCCCACCCCGAUCGAGCUAGCACCCAGAGAAACGCAAGAGCAGGACAGCAUUUGCUGAUUUGUUCCAUCAAGGUACGUGAAGCUUGACUCGUUUAAUUUCCGCUUGCCAAUGUACUUAGGGUUGUUUAGUUCCUAUUUUUUCUCAAAAAAUUUUAGGUUUUGGUCCAUCAUUUUGCAAAAUAGAACUAAACACCAUGCAAAAUUUUUGGCAAAAAGGUAGUUAUUCUCUAUUUUGAAUUUUGGCCUCAAAGAGGCCAAAAAAACCUAAAAUGAGCCUCAAGAGGUUUUAUGACAAGAAUAAAUUCUGCAUUUUGGAUGAAACUAAAUAUCUGAAAAUUUUGAUAUUUUGCAUUUCAUCACUCCAAAGUAGUUGACAUUUCGUAUUUUGGAUUCUAUGGGAACUAAACACCCCCUUAGCGAUUUUUUUUGAAUAACCCCUUAGCGAAAAUUCAAUGCAAAACCCAAGAAAUCAAGACAAAUUCAGCGACUAUACUUGCUUUUUUUCUGAGGGAUCUGGAGGGAGCCCCUAUCUACUUGCUUUAUUCAAGAAACAAGACACACUUAGGCUAUGUUCAGUUCCCAGGGAAUCAGCCCCUAAAUUGUAUAGCUAAUUUUUACCGGGAUUGAAUCCUGCCACGAACGAGCCCUUAGCCUAUUUUCGUACCAAAAGACACCUCGACAAAAUGGCAUACUGAAGUUAGCAGUAGAUUUUUACAACGUUAGGUCCAUAUAAACCAAACAAAGCUGAUAAUCACGUAUCAUGUUAUUGUCAUUCCAUCAGGCAGAUCAAACAUGCAAGGGAUCACGAAGGCGCUGCGCCUCCAUGGAAGGCAGCUAAGGCACACAGUUCUGCAACAUAUGAACAAGGGGAUCUUCUCCUGGGCCACCCUUAUUUCGCGCAUACAAAGCGAGUCGCCAACUGUGAUUAUACCACACAUGGGGCUCGAGAACAUUACCGUCAGUGAAAUUCUCAAGGCAAAGGGGGAGGCUGAAGCUGGAGCAGUCUACUGGUGCAGCACCAGCCAUUCUGUACAUGAAGCAGUACAGCACGUAAGCAUUAAUGUUUUUGGAGAACAACAGCGGAUUUAUCUUUCAACUAUAGUAUUACAGCAGAGUGACCAAAUACUGAACACUGUGGUUGAAACUAUAGAUGACAGCACACAAUGUUGGAGCUCUGGUGGUUCUCAAGUCAGGGAACAUGAACCAGCUUGCAGGAAUUGUAACCGAGAGAGGUACGCUAAGAUCAGCUGUUGAUAUAUACAUUGAUUAUUACUGCAUUUCUGAAUUAGGUUGUUGAUACAACCAACUGGAAUCUGAAAAUGAUCUGAUCAUGUAUCCUAUUCAGAAAUAAAGAAAAUAAUCACUGAAAUGUGGUAUCAGGAGAAAGAAAUAUUGACGGCCACAAUUAGCUACCUUAACUCAAACAUACUGCUUAAAUAAGGCGUGUCUGGUAUAAUAGGAAAACAUUGAAUUCUCUUACAUCCUAAAAUUUAAAUUUUAAUAAAGAAUUUAAAGUUUGACCAAUAUUAUAGAGAGAAAAGUAUUGACAUAAAAAAGGUAAAUAUUAUGAUAUAUUUCAUAAUGGGAACAAUGAUGUUUAUUUGAUAAUGUAAAUAUUAUUAUUGUGCUUUUCUCUAAAUCUUGUCAAUUUUUUUACUUAGAAUGUAAAUGUAAAACUCUUUAUAUUUCUUUUUUGAAAGGGAAUUCCUUAUAUUUUAGGAUGGAGGGAGUACAUAGUAAGAAAAAACUCCUUAACUAACCAACAUCAUCUAAUAACCAUAUAAAUAGCUAGCAGAAAGGAUUUGAAACAGUUAAAAGCAAAUAAUGCAUUUGAAUUUUACAGUUGCUCUCAAAAAAAAUGAAUGUUCAAAUGAAAUACUCCUUCGCUACAGAUUUUUCCAGGAAGAUCCUCUUGCCAGGGCGACCUUCAGAAGAAACCAGAGUUGAAGAUAUCAUGACAGAGGAGGUGAAAAAAAUUUAUGGAACAAACUCUUGUCUAAUUGAACAAUGUCAUAACAUAUCUCAUAGUCCUCACCAUUUUCCUUACUAUUGCAGGACAAGCUAAUUACAGUGUCUAGUCAUACCAAUAUUCUACGUGCCAUGGAGGUUAUGACAGGUAUGGAUCAUUCUGCAGCUUGUUAAUUUAAGUAAUUGUGUCAUAUCUGAAGGUUGCAGGAAACCUCUGAGCUACACAUCUUCCAUUUUUCUAUUAACAGACAAGCAUAUCAGACAUGUUCCUGUUUUCGAUGAGAAGGUAGUUGGUAUGAUAUCCAUUGGUGAUGUUGUUAGAGCGAUUGUGGACCAACAGCACCAGGAAGUAAAACAGCUGAAGAAGUAUAUCAGAGGAGAUUAUUAUUAGAAUAAUGUGCAGUCCUUACAUUUGGUGUAUAAACAUAAAUUAUGUGUAAUCGUUUACUGAUAUUUAAUACAUAUAUUUUCCUCGAUGACAUAAUCUGGACAUGCUGCGGGUCUAAUUGGUACCUCUUAUAAACUGCUCAUGUCCAAAUACAAGCUAAAACUAACAGCUAGGGAUGAAAAUACAUAAGCAGUUUUAGUGCAAACUAGAUACUGUGUCAAAUUUGAUUAACGAAGACUAUUUAACCUAAGCACCACACUUCCCAAUGAUGUAGGGAUAAUGCAUUAUGGUUGGCUGCUUGCGUACUUAAAUAAAUACGAUUUCUCUUGAAAAUAGAUAUUUGUUUUGCAACAAUCUGACUACAUAAUAAAUAUUGUAAGCAGCACUACUGAUUCUAUUAUAAAUACUAAGAUCAUGGUGCCAGAUUUGCUUUCAGCUUGUAACAUUGCUAAUGUAGCCUAUAAUUCUAUUGUGUUAUUGUUUGUUUAUUUAGUUCAGAAUUUAGUUGUGCUAAGUAUUUUGUUCUUAGAAAUUUAUGGAUAGAAUACAUGUGUAUGUGGGCUGUAUAGCAACACAUAUUCUGCAUUUAUGCUUUGAGUUAGUCUUUCCAUACUAAAAAUGACAAAAGUGCGUAAUCAGAAAAAUAUGUAUCAAAUAAAGUAAGAUACUUUCAAUAAUGACAAUGUACGUGCAAAUUCAAAUAUUUACUUCAAGUUAUUUUAAAUAUCAUGGAGGUCGGCAAUUUAGAUGCAAACUUGAUUGUUACUUUAGAUAUAGCUCUUUCUAAUGAUAUGUGUAAUUUAGAUUAUAGAUUAGGAGUUACUCCAAGUUGUAUUUUAUAAUGACACAGGUUAGUAAUUUAGAUACAAUUUUAGGAGGUUACUUUACAUUAUCCUGACAAUGGCAUAUAUGCAGAUUUAGGAGUUCACUUUAGAUUAUUUUUAUAAUGUGGUUAAUAUUUUAGAAAGCAUAAAUGAAUCUAGUGGCUAUUAUAAUCUUAUUGUAGUUAGAUUCUAAUAGAGUAAUAGGACCAUGGUUGGAUUUUUCUUUCUGAUUGCUGAUAGGAUUUUUAAGAUUUUUCUUCUUGCGUGUCUCAUGAUGAUUAACAUUAAUGAGUCUUGUAAGAUUGAUAGGUAGUGAAACGAAUACUUAGCAAAUGGUGAUGCCACUGAAAAUCUUCAAAUUUUGCAUAUUUAUUUUCCUUUUUUUAAAAAAAAAUCGGUUCCAAACUUAAUUGUCACAUAUUUGUUUCUUGUAGGCUAUCCUCAGUUACUACUUGUUCCAGCCUGAUACCAUUUCCCCCUGUGGUGCCGAGUAAUUCCUAGACAAAUGCAGAUGCUUAAAGUGAAUUUCUAGUCACGGAGAAUUUGUUCUUUACCAAUACUCCAGCAGUAGCAGUUUUGCUGUCCCGGAAAGUAUUAGUGCUUUUCUUUUCCUAGAUUCUUCCAAGUAAUAUAAUGCCAAGCUCCUCGCAGGAGCAAAUAGUAACGACCAGUUUUUAAUUUGCUGCAGAUUCUUGCAUUCGCUUGCAAGUUGAGGCUGCGAUAAUCUGCUUUUGAUUGAUUUAGUAAUAUAUAAUGCUAUUAUUUGGGGGCAGAAUUUUCUCAAGAAUCUAAGAAUGCAAAAGACACGGCAUUGGGGAAUAUAUACAUUAAACACAAUUUUCAAUUCAGAUUGAAUAAAGAAGAAAUGACCCAUUGGCCGUUAUCCACAUUUAAAACGAAUCAAACUUUGUUUCGAUAUUGAACAAUGUUUUGUCCUCUGCACUCAGCAUAAUACACACAGCCAUUACAUAGGGAUAAUGAAAAAAAAUGGUGUGCAUAAAGCAUGACUGCAUUAUUUCAAGCCAAGACCUUAGACUCAAAUCCAACCUACACUACAAAAUUACAGAAAGACUAAACAUCAACCGGUUGUUUCUCUGGUUUCGGUCAACUGAUUUUUGGGCCUUUUGAUUUGGGCACGAUUUGGCGCUGAGCUGAUUGUCGAUCGUUCGAUUUGGGCACGGUUCGGCGCUGAGCUGAUUAACAACGACGCAUGUACGCGUGCCUAAAUAUGUGCGUUUGCACGAUCUUUAAAACGUACGCAUGCCUAGCCAGCCGUCGACGGGACUCUGACGCCUGACGACGAGAUGGCUGGCAGUUUGGCACCGGCGCCAUGCUCCUCCUCUGGAUGGAUACACUUGCGCGGAUGCGAAAGUGACGGUGGCGCAACUCAUUCACGGAUGCAGCUGUAGGUCGUGAGCUCCGAUGUUCACAGGCAAGUAUGGCUGCCCGGCGUGAUGCAUAUGACUGUAUGGGCAUGUACUCCCAGUCCCAGGUGGGCUGCCUACGCCUCGCGCACGCACAGCUGACCAGAGGCCUCAUGCUGCCGCACGUCAGCGAUGGAGCUCUGCACUCAGUUCUCCUCUUCCUCUGAUGUCUGCAUUUUUUUCUAAAAUUUGUGAAUAAUUUAUAAAUAAUUUGACAUAUAUUUCUAUGGUAUCUGAGAUCCAUAGAAAUAAUUUAUGAUUUUUUUGAAAGAUUUGGUAUAUAUUUGUAUUAUCCUUAAAUUACACCACUAUAUCUAAUAAAUUAUACUAAAGAAGUCAUUGUAAAUAUAGUAAUAAGUCAAUGUAAGUAUAGUUAAAAGUGUAUAGGAAAAAUUCAGUUGACAAGAUAAACCAGAACAACUGAAUGUCAUCUAGAUAGAUCUAAAAAUUAAGAAUCUUGUUUGGGGUUAUCUUUCAUCGCCUUGGCGUCAUAUCUAUAGACAUACCGGCCUAGACAAUCUGGCCAAAUUAGAGACUAAAAACUACUUAUUUUCUGUCUCGCGGCUCAUUGCACCAAUUUUCAACUCUACCCCUCUGCUUUCUGGAUAGAUCGUAGACGGGCAUUUUUUUUUAAUGCGGCGUCACUAAUUCGCGCGCGCUAGCACAAGUAGCGAGCGAUUUCUGGCAGGAAAUGACAAACUUAAUUCCUGCUUCCAUCGUUGCCCGCGCGCCCCACCGGCGAUGACGCCGCCCUCGCCGCCGUGCCGUGCAGCUCACCUCCUAAAGCUAUAUAUAUCUCAUGCAGCCAGCGAUUGUACCACUACCAUAGCGUCGCCGUUGCAGUGUUCUCAGCUGGCACACGGGCACGGCCAGGCCAGUGCGUGUACUGACGAAUAUUCAAAAGCAGAGGCCAUUGGUACUCAUGGCCGGCACUGACAUGUGACGUGAAGAAAAAAGAACAGUCAUCAAGCAGCAUGACUAACCGCGUUAAUAAGGCUGUUGGGGGGCUGGACCCUUUCUUCGAGGAUCUCCUCCAUCCGAGGAACCUUCCUACGAAAGAGCGCGGAGGUUUGGGGCAAAUUUAAUAUUAAUGCAUCUCUUGUGGUACUAAGCAAAUGCAGAAACCAAAGUAAAGGCGGAGGUCAGAAGCGGAGAAGGAAUAAACCUUCAAAUCCUCCCGCAAUGAAGGAUGGCUGAAGGAAUGACGGAGGAGCGCCUGCGCCAGGGAACCUCCGGCGUGGCCGAGCCUAAGAACCUUCGGCGUAGAAGCGUCGAAGGUUCAGCAGCCUGGCGAAGAAUUCAAGCCUUCAACAAGCUGAAGCCCUAGGCGAGGAGUGCGCGAGGAGCUCGUAGUGUGAAAUUACAUAAAUGGCUUAGGGUUAGUAGACUGUAACAUAAGAAUAUGUCGGGAUAUUUCUCCAACGUCACGGGACAUUUUUGUAAUUACCUCAGGUCGGUUUCCGAGCCCUAUAUAAAGGGAGUGAAGCCACCAUUAAGUGAGGAGAGCAUUUAUUGUUUCCACCUACUGUUCAACUCACUGUUCGCUGUUGAUUGAGUCUCUCACUGCAUCGUGUGAGAAGGUUCUCAGUACAUUGUGUCGCUGGGGAGUGCAGUGUGCAUUUUCCAACAAAGGCCAAUUUGCGUAGUGUUGUUUUUGGGAAAAAAAAAAAGAUGGCCACUCCAUUUAAAGACUGGGAUCAGUGACGGACGGUGGAGGCAUAUGUUCUGAAUUCCACUUGUGUUUUGGUGCAUGCAUGUGUUUUUCCUCAAUCUAGGAGCCGGGUUUGACAAGUCGUCUAAUGGAAAGGCAGGUCCAGUUUCAUUUUACAAUUCACCUGAUAGGCUGAGACUAGAUCUACAAAGUGUGCUGAUGCUGUUCUUUGUGGUACAGAGGGUUUUUUUAUAUAAAAAAACUUAGCAAGAGAUUUGCCGAACAACUUUAUUAACUACUCCCUCCGUCACUAUUUAGAAGGCGUAACUGUUGUUUCUAAGGCCUUAUAUAGAUUCAAAAAGUUUUGGACUUUGACACAGUAGCACUUUUAUUUUUAUUUAACAAACAUUGUCUAAUUAUGGAGUAACUAGGCUUAAAAAAUUCGUCUCGCGAUUUAUAGUCAAACUGUGCAACUACUUUUGUUUUUAUCUAUAUUAAUGCUCUAUACAUAUGCCGCAAGAUUCGAUGUGACGGAAAAUCUUGAAAAGUUUAACUAAACAAGGCCUAAGUGUCCUGGCAUACAGGGCGUCUCGCAUGCAACAUGCAGUGAAUGACGCCGGCUGGACUCAUGGUUGCCUUGUAUGCAGCUACUACUCCAGGCACGGACCAGUACUAGUGCAACGCAUUGGCUUGUACUCUUUGUUUACAACAUGCAACUACUUUUUGCCACGAUAAAUGAUGAGCCUAUACUCAUAUUAAAUGAGCUCCUUGGUCUCUGUCUUAUAUGGGAGUUGCGCCUUCUAAACUAGAACAGAAGAAGUAUACUCACUAAGUGUGGAGCGCAAAUUGACACUUUACACCUCGGAGAGAUAGGCAAGAGUACAUAAUUUAAUUUUAAAAGAUAUCAUUUUUUAGGAUUAUUAAGACUAUUUUUUGCAUGGCCUAGGUACACUUUAUUUUUGAACAUGAAAGCAUUAUUUUAUCUUCGUUCUCUCAACCCAAGUGGCAUGGUGCUUUUUAACGACUCUCAUUCACUCCUCUUUUGAUCGCCAUUUAUGACCCUUCAAAUAUCCUCCUUGAUCAAGAGCUUGAGUUAUAGAGGUUGCAAGGAAGUGUGUUGAAAUAUCCUCUGGUUAUGCUCUUUCUACACAUUCCACCAAAAAUAGAUCAUUGUGUCGUCAAAAUCAUCCUUUUGUGUUUCUUUCUACACCAUGUCUCUCCCUUUCCUUCAAUAUUUAUAGAUGGAGCCCUUUCCUCCAACACUUAUAGAUGGAGCGUCAAUAGAUCCAUGUGUUUGCAAAUGCCUUAAUCAAACCAAGAGAGAAUUAGGUCAAGUGUGGUAGGGCUCUCUCUGUCUCUGGCUACCAUGCUACCAUAUGAAAGAAGUCAAAGCUAGAGGAGCCACAAAAUGUUGCUUCUUCGAUCUCCCAGAUUAUAGAGAAAAAAUAGCUCCUAUGAACUGUUGUAGGUCAGGAUGGCAACGGGGCCUCGAUCCCCGAUCCCUGCUGUGAAUUUCAUCCAUUAGGGAAUGAAUUUGGGGUAAAUUUGUCCCCCGUGGGGAUGUUAAUGGCUAAAAACAAUACCCGUCGGGUGAGCCGGGGAUGGGAUCGUUCCCCACCUCCCCGUCCCCGUUAUCCGCUAACACCCCUGAGUCCCUUAACAUGCUUAUAAGGCCCAAGGAGUCCAAUUCAGCCUAGCCCAUUACACUAACACAUAUAAGCUGCGAGUAACCAUAGCCGCAAUACCCAAUUCCCCAUCCCCAUCUGUCAUCCCAUCCGCCUGUCCGCCGCUGCUCACACCGCUCCCACACUCAGCACUCCGCCACUCCCGCUCGGGCUCAGUGGCUUGGCCGCUCGCCCGAAGCCCUGGACACCCGUUCCGCAGGCCGCACCCACACCCGCAUGUGGCUCCCAAACUCGCCGCACCUACCGUCACACCGCACAGACGCACACGCACCGCAUUCCCACUCCCACGCGCACGUAGGCCAUCAACGCGCAGCCACAGCCGCAUGCCGCUGCUCACGGCGGCUCUGCGCCUCUGGACAGUGGACUCCAGUCCUCUGUGUCUGGUCCAUGGGAUGGCGUCAGAAUUCGCUGAUGUUAUCGGCCAGUGAAGAUCUCCUUCAUCCUUCAACCUUAACCAUCUUUUUGCAGUUUUCUGUGAUCUAUGCCUCUACUGACUGUGCAUGUGCCACCCAAGAGACGCCGAAGACAACGCCUCCAAGCCACCGCAACCAGAUCAAGCUAGAUCAAUCAAGGCUGCUACCAGACCGUGCGCACCAGUAGCUGCUGCUCCUCUGCCUGAGAAGAAGAAAGCUUCGCUGACAUCAUCCACCAAAGCCAUCGUAGUAGCUGGUGACCUGAAGCGCCUUCCCCGACCACCUGGAGACAAAGGAUCCAACCCAAAACGUCAUUGCCCGAAGGGUGGACAUGGACGCAACAAUCUUCGAUCUAUUGGGUAAGUGCAUAGAACACUUAAGUUUUGUUCUGUUUUCUUGGUUUGUUUCAUUGCAGCUAGAUGUUAGGUUUAGAUGCAUAUAUGUUCUAGAAUCUAGAUUUGUCAUAUACUAGCAGAUUUGUGGUUGGCUUGUUGCUCAGAUGAAUAGAAUAUUUGAAGCUUUAUUAGUAGAUCUAUACACUCUAUUUUGAGUAGUAUAUUUUGUAUUUACAAGUAUAUGGCAGCAGUAUAUUGCAAGUCUCUAUUUUUAGUGAUCUACAAUUAUAUUACUUGGAUAGGUUGCAAAAGAUGUCUAGUGCAAGCAGUAGCCAAGCUCCAGCGUCUCAUGGCUCAUAGCCUGAUUCUAAGUCACUCCCAGAAUCUAUUAAUGAAUCCGUUGCAAUUGAAAUAGAGGAUGACGAAGAGGUGAUUGAGGCACAAGAAGAGGAAGAAGAUGGUGUUGAGGUAGGCUCAAAGAGGAAGCUUACAUCGGUUGUUUGAAAGGAGUUUAAGAGAGUCAUGUGGAAUGGGCAAGUAAAGGCAAAAUGCAUGUACUGCUUUACCAAGCUUGGAGGAGAAACAAAAAGUGGAACUAAACACCUUCAUGAUCACUUGAAGAGUUGUUCACUUAGAAAAAUCAAGUUGUCAAGAAACAAGACAAUGUCACAGGCUUAUUUAAGGUUUGCUGCCCUAGAAAAAGGCAAAGUGUCAGUGGAGAACUAUACCUUUGACCAAGAUAUAGCUAGAAAUGAACUUGGGGCUAUGAUGGUGCUGCAUGAGUAUCCUUUAAGCAUGGUUGACCACGCUGGUUUUCGCAGAUUUGUACAUGCACUGCAGCCAUUGUUCAGGAUUGGCACCAGAAACACUCUAAGGUAUAUGGUGUGUAUUGUACUAUUAUUUCCCUUGUUGUGUGCCAUUAAAUUCAGUUCUGAAUUGUUGUUAUAUCAUUGUAGGAAGCACAUCAUUGACCAAUAUGAGUUGGAGAAGAAGAAAGCCAUUGAACACAUGGCUGGAAUUAAAUAUAGGGUGGCUAUCACAAGUGACAUGUGGACAUCAGACAACCAAAAGAGAGGAUAUAUGGCUGUCACAACUCACUUUAUUGAUGAAUCAUGGAACCUUAGGAACAUUAUCAUGAGGUAGCAACUUAUAGGUUAUAACUUAUGGAUCAAGUGUUAUUUGUGUCAUAUUGACUGCAUUUAUUAUUGUCUGGUCUUAACAUUUCCUAUUCUUGUACACGAUUAUUUAUGUUCCAAGUACUCAUACUCAUGAAGUCAUUGGUGAUGAACUUUAUGAGGUACUAGUCGAUUGGAAUCUUGAUGAGAAGGUAUCUACUAUCACUCUUGACAGCUGCACCACAAAUGACUCAAAAAUUCCUUAUCUUAUGAGAGAUUGGCAAAACCAAGCUCAUGUCUGGUGGAAAAUUCUUGCAUAUGCGUUGUUGUGCUCAUAUCCUUAAUUUGAUAGUAAGGAUGGAUUAGAAAACCUAAAAGAUGCUAUUGAAAACCUUCAUGAUAGUGUAAGUUAUUGGACAGCCACACCAAAAAGAUAUGAGAAGUUUGAGAAAAUAGCUAAGUAUGUAAAUGUUACCAUUACAAAGAAGAUAGCACUUGAUUGAAAAACAAGAUGGAACUCAACUUAUAAAAUCCUUAGUACUGCAUUGCCCUACAAAUCUAUUUUCAUGAGAGCAAGUCGUGUAGAUAAACAAUACACUUGCUGCCCUACUGAGGAAGAAUGGAAUUUUGCUGCUGAUGUUGUAGAAAGGCUUAAGAUGUUUAGUGACAUAUCUGACAUAUUCUCUAGGACUGAUUAUGUGACUUCAAAUAUAUUCUUCUACAAAGUUUGUGAGAUUAGAUGUAACAUUAGGGAAUGGUCAACCUGUGGUAACCCCUUGAUAGAGGCAAUGUCUUAUGACAUGGAAGCCUAGUUUAAGAAAUACUAGACUGAUAUUCAGGGGCUGAUGGGUAUUGCUACUUUGCUUGAAACUCGAUUCAAAUAUUACAUGUUGCUUCAUUGCUUUGAGGUGUUACUUGGUACAACUAGAUCAGACUGUGAGUAUGAGGUUGCAAAAGUAAAGGACUGUUUAAGUGAUCUAAUGAGUUAGUAUCAUUCUAAUGAGGAGAAGGUAGCACUAGUAGCAGCAAAGCAACUACAGUACUCAAUUCAAGUUUCUUGUCCUCCUUUAGUGCCCGUGUUGCAAGUACUGUAUCAUCAGCCAUGAGGUUUAGGUCUGAAUUAGAUCAGUACUUAGAGGAUGAGAUGGUUGACAUUCAAACCAAGGGAUUUGAUAUCUUGGACUGGUGGAAGGUUGCUGGAACACGAUAUCCAACAUUGAGAAUGAUAGCAAGGGAUAUUUUUGCAAUUCCCAUAACCACUGUUGCCUCUGAAUCUGCAUUCAACACCAGUGGUUGGGUCCUCAGUGAACAUCGCAGCAAGCUGACUUAAUUGUUGGAAGCUUUAAUGUGCUCGUAGGACUGGAUCCGCAACAGAUACAAAGGUAUAACUCAUAUGCAAUUCAUAGUUCAUAUUUCAUACUUCACUCCAAAUUUUAGCCAAAAAUAAUACUUCAAAAAUGUAGGCAUGGUUACUAAUGAAGGGCGACCUGCAAGCUUCUGGUCUGCUCUCCAAGAAGUUCAAGAAGGCCUUCAGGUGAGUUAUCGAACACCUAAACAGAGUUUAGAUUUUGCUUUUGCCUUGUCACAUAACAACAAAUUUCUUAUUUGUGUAUCUAUGUAGGAACUUACAAUUUAGGAGUGCAGACUGUUAGCUGACUAGGAUCAAGAUGGCAUGCUUGUGUAAUGUGCUCAUAACUCACUCAACAUUAAAUAUUAACAUAAAUAUUAACUAUUUAUGUAACCUUCUAUUGUAAUGAUUGAUGUGUGGUGACACCACUACCCUACUUUUGCUGAUUUUGUCAGCUUGCUAGAAGCCGAGGCCGCCAUAAAUUUGAUGUCGAUUUCAAAUCGUUGCUGGUUAUUUUGUAGGACUGUAAAGUUCUAAUCUAUAGACUUUAGUGGUUCUAGAGAAUUGAGGCCCUUGUUGUGAAGCCUGUGAAUCUGUGAUGUUACUGGAGAUUUAUGAACUAGCUAAACUAUUAAUUUGUAAUGAUUGAAGGUGAACUCUAUUAAUCUGCACUUGUGAUGUGCUGCUGGAGAAUUGAGACUAUUUAUUUGCUAUUUAUUUGUGUAGAAUUUACAUCUUAAAAUGUACAAUUCAUGUUAUACUUCUUGUUUAAUUGUUGUUAGCUAUAUGUUUAUUGGGGAUUUAUCGGGGAUGGGAAACCCGACAGGUACAAAUCCCCGUUGAGGACGGGGACAGGGAUGGGGAACGGGGAGUUUUGAAUCAGCCGGGGAGGAGAACGUUCCUUCAAAAGCCGGCGGGGAUAGCCCCGUUGCCAAUUUGAGUUGUAGCAGGAGCUAGAGCCAUAAGAAGAUGUACCAAAAAGAUCUUUAAUGUUCACACCGCUUUAGUAUAAGACAAAUUCUUGCACAGGUGUAUGAGCAAUACUUGUGGUGCAACUUGACUAUCACAUUUUUAGCUAAUUGUUCUUUCGAGUUUCAAUGGUAGAUAUUGUUGGUUGUUAGUGUUCUUAGAGGGAGUACUCAAAAUUGAGUGUGCAUGGGACACUUGAGCAUCUAUGUCCUUUUUCUCUCUAUCUAAAAUGGUUAUAACGUCAUCAUCUAUCCUCCACUUGGAGCUCACGCGGGUCCACCUCCUAUCCGAUUUUGAUAUGAAGAUCGGAUCCACGUGUUCGCAUCUGAAAAGUCCUCUGAACUCACGCGUCUUCAUCCGAAGGUUCACUCCAAGAUGAUGAGAGCCUCUCAUGUCGUCUUCUUCGACAAUCAAUUUAGUAAGGUCUCAUCCUUGUGAAACUAUAUCAAUUUUUAAAAAUUGAUGAUUAAAGUUAGAAAUAUUUAACUUUACUAACUAAAGUAAAAAGAAGGCGGAUUUCGAAAUAGUUUAGAGUUCUCAAUAUAAAAUUAUUUAUUAGUUUUUUAUUAUUUUCUGCAAAUCCUUUGUUAUAGGCGUGGACAGAAUUUUGUGACCCAGUGCAACGCACACAGACAUAUAACUAGUAGUUCUGAAAAAAAAAUAAGAGGAGGAGAAUUACUGGAUUCCAGUGCGUAAUUUUCUAUGAAAUCUGCAGUAGGGAAAAAAGAACUCCGUUACACAUCAACUUGUGUCCUCCACACUCUCCCUUGAUUGGGUGGGGGUGAAAGGAGAAUCUAACAAAUUCUAUUGCAUCAAGUUGUGUGUUUUCUAGCGAAAGGCAAGCAUGCUAAAGUUUUGUCGUGUUAGCUAAUCACGCCAUUAGGUUAGGAAUUUCUGGUGGAGCCCCCUGGCUGAGGGCAGGCAGGAACCCUUUCAAGUAGCCAGCUCUCGGAAUCCCGAAUUUCCGAUACCUCGCGCACGCACACACGCUUUCCCUGAUGCAAUGCAAGGAUUCGCUGCAGAUGAGAUUCUCGAUCGCGGGGCGCCGGCCGCCUUUCUCCCCUGUCCCCGGAAGACACAGCUCUGUUCGCCGGUGGGCCGCAAAGAACCAUUUCCACCACCAAGUUGGGCGUGGCAUCUACCAUCCGCGCAGUCCGCAGGACGGCGUCCAGGCCUUUUGAGGGGAUUCCGAUUUACCAUAUCUACCUGACUUGGAAAGCAGAUGUAUCCACUUGUGUGUCUUGUGUCUCCUAAUAAUGGAUGAAAAUCGUAAUGGCAUCUUGUGAGCGCAACAAGUUCACUGUGGAAAUACUAUACUUAAUUCUCUCGGGAAUUCGAAAAAGGAAAGAGUUGAGAUGUAGUGACUGGGUAGUUUUUUUUGAUAAGGGUAGUGAAUGGAUAGUUGGAUAUCAUCCAAUCCAACAACUAGAGCAGUGAACACUCUUCCUAGCAACAGUGGGCAUGCAAGCUAACAAAUGAAAGCAUUCAUGAUUAGGCCACAUAUAAUAGAAUCGAAGAACUAAUCCAAACUAUUGAAAAGAAUUAUCUAGAAAGAUUUCUAGAGAAUUCAAUUGAAUCAUGAAAAUAUGCCAAAAAAAGAAAAAAGUUCCAAAAAAAUUAAUGUAAUUAAGAUCAGAACUAAAGUAAACAAAUAACCUCUAUUAAGAGUAUCUCCAAGAGUAUCCUAUUUUCUCCCGAAAAACACAUUUAGUUUUGCAACUCCUAAAAAGGUAUUGGGAGGAAAAAAGAAGAUCAUCUCCAAGAGUUUCCAAUAAUCCAUUCCUAAAAUAUAGAAGAUAAUUUUACAUCAAGAAUCAUAUACUAUUUCUAAAUUAUCAUAACCACUUUUAUAUAUUCUUUCUCUCUCGUACAUUUGCAUCAGGAACCCUUUCCUACUCUCUAUUCUUUCUCACACCCUUUCACCUUUAGAUUGACCAAAAAGACAACGUGAGGAGGAGCAAUGCGCACAAGAAAGGCCACACAUAUUUUUACACACGAUGCCGACCUAUUUGCCAAUUGCCAAAAGAUGGGGAAGGGAUAUGAGUUACUCUUAGAGAUGAAUUUUUCUCUUUUUUCCCCCAAAAACAUGGAUGGAGAAGGGAUAUGGGGUACUCUUGGAGAUGCUCUAAUGUUGUCAUUAGGACAAAAGAAUUAAACUUAAUCAAGGGAAUAUUUUUUAGAUACCGACAAAAGAUCUAUAAAAUCAUGAGAAUAUAUUAAUCCUAGCAUGCUAGAAUAUAAAAGGCCUAUAUGUAUUAUUUAAACCCAUUACAUCUGUUUACAUAGCUCUAGAAGGCUAGAAUAUAUCAUAAGUCUUUUUGCAACUCACAAGGUCUAUGUGAUCUCACAAGGUCUAUGUGAUGAAAUAUCUAUAUAUCUAGCUAUUGUAUAGUAAGACUAUUGUUCAAUUUAAGUCAUUUUCAAUGUGCAACCCAUACCCUUUGUAUUUUUUUAGUGUUUUUAACAGAAAAGGAGGGGUUGAAAUGAAAUAAACCAUAAGAAAAACAAUACAAUAGAAAUAACAAUGGUUAAGACCUUCAAGCAACAAAGAAAGAACAAAAAGAUGAACUUAGUUGGUUCUCACUUUAGAUAUUUCUAUAAUUUUUGUAGUGAAGAUUUCAUGAGUAAAUGAGCAGUGCAUGCAAUGAUGUUGCAUAACAUAUUUUGUUGUGCACACGGUUUAAUUAGUUUUCCUAGUUGUGCACAUAGUUUAUUUCUCUAGAUCCAAGACAUUCAUGUGACCUUAUUUGCAUUCAUAGUAAUACAUACUAUUUGUAUAGAGAAAAUGUAUUAAUGGGGGAGAAAUAUCGUACCUUGGUUCCAUCAGGGCAACUCUACUACUCCAAUAUGUUUGAUGUGCUGAAGAUGAAGAGAGAAAAAGUGAGUGAGAUGCAAUGUGGUGCAAAGGUACUAUAGCUAGAAUUGCUAUGAAACUAUGGUUUGUUUGGGCAUCAGUGCAAAGAAGAAAAAAGUAACUGAUAUCAAAGUACGUAGUCAAGGUGGAGGAAUGCUAAAAGUUAAGAAAUGUAGGAGAGAGUUUUUUCUCUCACAACAAAUUAGCAUCAGCAGCGGCAACCGAAAUUCAGCGAGAUAUUUCCAUGCAAGCGGCCAGAACUUGUCCAAUAGUUUGUGUUGGUUAUAAAAUUAGCUCCAUAUGUCUUUGCCACUAAUGUUGUUUGGUAGUACCUCUCAGUGCUUCUAGUACUAGUUGUGUGCUAUCCAUUUGGACAGUUAUAUUUAUAGAUAAAGAAAUUUUGCCAAAAAACAAUUUUGCAUAUCCUUAUGUAACCUAGCUAACUCAUUAUUCUCUAGCAAAACUAGUGACAUGGCAUCAAUUUAUGAGGGGAGAGAAGAGUUAGUGUUCAUCAAGAUGAAACCUGGUGUACACAAUUACCAAGACUAUAAAAACUAGAAUGAAACUCUACUGAGAGCAACUUAUUUCAUCUCUAAACCUUUUUCAUUGAACAUCACUAACUUUAAAUGUUUUUGGCUAGUCUAUAAAACUAUGAAAUGAAAUUUUUCAUUGAGAGAGGUCAUUUCUUUAUUCAUCAUUAUAAACCUCUAAAAAUGAUGUAGCAGUAGAAACCAUGUCAAGAAACCCUCCACUCUCGUCUCAUGAUUACCAAAUAGACAAGUUCAUUUAUUAGCAUUAUUGCACCAAUUUUUCAUAAUUUACAUUGUAUGUAUAGGGGAUGAAUAGGUUCAAAUAGAUUGAAGUUUCGAGAAUAUGAGCACAGAUUAUUGAUUAAGAAGGCUCUAACUCAGUACCAUAUACUCCACUACUCCAUCUUGAUAUGUUUGCAUUUUCUAAUCCCAGUGGUAAUAUCAUACGCAACAAAUGACUGGCACAUAGGAAUAUUAGCUUACACAACAAUCAAGUAAUGUGGACAGAGAGAAAAAUGUUAUAUCCUGGUUGUGAUACAAUUUGGGUAUGAAAUAAUCAACCAUUGGAAAACCGCAUAGCAGCAUUUGGGUUGAGUUGUUGCAUUUGAUACUAUAUUUAGGUCCAUUUUUCAUAGACACAACACAUACAAUAAAUAGCUAUCAUGGUAUCCUAAGAAACUACAUCAAGACACUAUGCAUUGAAAGAAUAGUAUCAUUUGUAUACUCAUAUAUGACAUGGCGGCUUUAGAGAAAAUGACAUGUUACAAAAAAAUAGAAUUAUAGCUUAAGAAAUGUAAAGGUUAUUUCUCAUUGCUGCACAUAUACUAGAAGUUACGGUUCAAAUGGGAGGCUGCCCCCAAUGCUCCGUUCAAUACACAUCAGCUAAACCCGAAAAAUAUUAGCUAUAAAAUACAAUCAUCUUUGUGUGAUGCGGUGGCAUACGACUUUCUAUGACGAAUAUUCCAUGAGUGUACAGGUAUACUAGUUGUACCCAUAGUUGUCAAAUAUCGAUUCUAUGUGUGCGGUUUAGAAUCUAUAGUUUUACAAUUCUAGUAGUUAUCUAUACCUAAUAAUAAAUUGUGAAAAUUUCAGUCUACCAUAUCUUUAUAUGUUCACUAGGCCUUUCAUCAGUGUCCGUAUUUAUAUGACUAUAUAGGACUAUGUUUCUCUUUUUGGAUCUGGUUUCUUAUUAUUUUUAACUUAUUUUUUGUUUAUGGCACAAGAACUUCUGGUCCCAUAGGGUUAGCGGGAAAAAAAGAAAGUUAUAAGCUGAAUCUAACUCGGAAGCCUAACACGAGUUUAAACCAAUUUUAAACCGAAACAAGCGAAUAGUUAGACUCAACUAAAAUCCAAAACAGAGUUCGACCAAAAUUAUCUUUAUUCUUAUAAGAAAAGAUAUAAUUACUUCAAAGAAAAAAAAGUCACGGACACCACCGGGGGAGGGGGAGCGACUCUUUUAGACCCAAGGUACGCAACACCUAUGAGCCGGAGAGAAAAAAUAAAGUAAAGACAAAAACAAAAAUAAAGAUCCAAUCCAAACUAAGGUAAUCAUGCUGAACUCGGACAGAACACUGGUGAUUGGAAAAAAAAAGUGAAGACGAAAAAAAAGAUCCAAUCUAAACUCAGGCAAUUAUGGUGAACUCGGAGAGAACACUGGUGAUUGGCCGCACGAAAAAAAAUUAGGUGCCAUAAAUUUUGGCUUUCUAUUAUUAAGGAGGAAUAGAUUACGAAUCUAGAGUUCAGUUCCUGAUUCAAUAUGUUUUGGAAUCGAACUCUAUAUCAUGCUAGACAAAAGCUAUUCUAACUUGUCGAAGUAUGGGCUAUAUAUAUAAGUCUGGAUAGAAGAAACUCUUCAUUGUCCGGUAGCUAAAGAGAGACGUGCCAAAAAAAGAUGGACGAAAAAAAACUUGAAAUUUUGGUUCUUUAUUAUUAGGUAUAGAUAUAAGAAGAAGAAGGAACUACAGAUUAAGACUUUGAUUUUUUUUGCCUCCGAUUCACAUCUAACUAAAUAAAGAAAGCGGAGCAAAAUAAAAAACACAAUUCUUAUCCUUUUCUAUUUAACUAUUAAGAGUUCUUUUUAAAAUACUUAGUAUGUGAGGAAUCUAUUUAUAUUGAGACUCCUACUCCAUAAUGGUUUAGACGCAAGUUAUUCUAAGUUGUAUGAGCACGGGUUAUAUAUAUAAGUUUAGAUAAAAGAAACUCUCCAUCGUUCGGUAGUUAGAGAAAGACAAACAAAAAAAUAGAUGGACAAAAAAAGCAUAAAUUUUUGCCUAUUUAUUAUUAGAUAUAGAUUAUAUAUAAUUAGAUAAUAGAGAUAUAAAUAUAGGUUUGAUAGUUUUUUUUUCUCCCGUUGCAACGCACAGGCAUUUUUGCUAGUAAUUCUAUAAUUUUUGAUACCAUCAUUCGAGUUCUGAUCCAAUUUAGGAUCAUGACUUUAACAACUUUGGUUCCACCAUAAAUAAUCUCUUUUUUAUUACACAGUACGCACAACACAGGUGUGCACACUUACCCUUAUGAACGCACAUACCAUUAUUGGUUUAGGAUUGAGAAGAUGUUUUCUCCAAUUUUAUUGCAACUAUGUGUGUGCUCUCUUAAAUUACCUAAACUACCUUUGACAAUUUGGUUGUUAAACCUCCGGUCAAAAGAGCAUUUAUGACACUACUCUUUAUACGGUUAUAACGUUACAAAGAUAUAAAUGACAGCCAAAGUGAUAUAUACUAUUUGAGGGCAUGUUUUUUGGUGAAUAGAGUGUAGAUGUAUCACGUACCAUUAUCGAAGAACAAUACCUUUAGUUAAAAAAAACGAGCACACCAAGUCAAUAAAGUAUACCUAACCAAUGGAUGAUCUAUACUCAAUUCACAAUUAUUAGUAUUUUAUAUUGAAAAGAAUAUGAAUAUAUUUAUGCGUUCGACAUGCAUAGACUAACUUGUGGCUAUUUUUUUUAUAAUAUUUUUAAUUUGCAUUAUUAUAUGGAAUUUUAAAAUAGAAGGGAUACAUUUACGCUGGAUAUAACAAGUCGACAAGCUGGUCCAAACAACAGUUAUGACUUACAGUUAAGACAGUACAAAAAUACAAAUUAAAGACGUGUGACGGGUCAAAGUGACAUAUACUCUUUUCCUACGUAGUAUAUACUACGUCAAGGGGUCAGAAGGCCACCCUGACCAUCCUUUGGAAUGGUUAAUUCCUUUGGCGCCAGUUGGAGACUGAAGAAGGCCACCUGGCGUUCUUAAUUAAACCCAGCUCACGGAUCCUAUAAAUUGGAACCCUCGCGGCUCGGUAGUGCUCCCACCGCAAACCAUUUCAAAACCUUCCUUAUUUCCUUGCGCCGGCCGGUUACAUCAUCACUCUUGACGCACAAACCGUCCGAUCCGCCGUUCCAAACGCAAACAAACAGCGCCAUGUCGUCCAACUCGUCGGCGUCGUCGUCUGAGUGGACGAAGCCGCAGCACAAGCUGUUCGAGCGCGCCCUGGCGGUGUACGACGCGGACACCCCGGACCGGUGGCACAACGUGGCGCGCUACAUGGGCGGCGGCACGUCCGUCGAGGAGGUGCGCCGCCACUACCAGCAGCUCGUCGUCGACGUCGCGCGGAUCGAGUCCGACGGAGUGCCCUUCCACUGGUACGCCACCGCCCCGCCGCCGUCGACGCUGCAUCGAGGUAUGCAUGUAGUAACGACUGAACACUGCCGGCGUCGUCGUCCUCCCGUUAAUUUCUUGCCCUUAUUCGGCUAUUAAGUACUCUUAUUAGUUUUGGAGCAUGCGACAUGGCGUAAUAAAUUUAAUCAUUCAUGACGUCAACUAGAUGGACGCAGAGCAGUAGCUGCUGUGUGCCACUACCCACAUGAGAUCUGAUCCUUGGACAGGAGUACAGGACAGAUAGUUCGUGUGUGUGCAUGCUUGAAACGGCAAAGUACCAUGAGAUUAGUCCUAAUCAAUUCGCGUUGCCUGCUUAAAAGACUCUGCAUUGUGUCUGUCAUCAUGCAUGCCACUGGCGUUGCUGCGAUAAUGUUUAAAUACUGUUUAGAUAACCGACCAUGCUGUUAAUUCCGAUGGUAGAUUGGUACGACAUGUCAAGUUGCAUUGGCAACUUUGGCUUUAAAUUUGGCUGCUAUAAUUGACUAGAUAGUACGUACUCAUUACGCGUAAGUAGUAGAUCCUGCCUCGACAGUCGGCAGACACAUUUAUUCCUGGUAUAUUUGGUAGUACUUCACAGAAUAUACAAUGUUAUCACCAGUCAUCAUGCUGGAAAAUAUGCAUACUCGAUUCAGUACUAGAUUCGGUACGUUGUUCAAUACAGAGACGCAAAAUAUGCAUAAAGUUCCCUCGAAAAGAAUAUGAAUAUACUCCAUGUGUUCAUGAAAAAUAAAAAGUUAUGCGUAAGAAGACUGCUUUUUAUGUACUGACUGAAGACAAAAUGAGAUUAUGUAUGCAAAGGAGAAGUGAUCGAAAUAAUUCUCAUGUCCCCUAUAACUUGGUUGUAGGUUGAAAUAUCUGAAUGAAGCUUCAAUGAAGGGAAGGGUUAAACAGUGGCUAGCUGUGCUCUUUGAAGAAGAUCUAUAAAUCAUGCAUGUAAAUGUGCAUGUGUGUAUGCUGAUUGCAAAAUGUUAUACCAAGAAUCCAAGUUAAAUACUGCAGCCUGCUGGUCUUUGAUCUUGUAUACCAAGUAGUUAGCUUUUCGAGAUCUAUGGAGCGAUAUGAAUGCUUCAUGUAUAAGUUCUGGUCAUGUACUGCUAUCGAAAUACUGUGAAUCAACUAAGGAAUUAUUCCCAUGAAUCUCUCAGCAUUUGCAAACUCCAAGAAUGCCAUAUAUACACUGUUUCAAACAUUCCCCAAUCCGGCCGCAUUCUACUACGAAUAUAUGGUGACUCUGGCAGGCUGGCGUAUCGUGCCAACGAUGUGGGGCCGAAAGCACCAUUGCCAACACAUAACCUCGCGUCCUCGCCUAUUGCACCAACCAGAUGAAAGCAUUGAAUACUUUUUUAUUCUAGAGCUAGAGAGGCACCUAAACUAGAACUUACACUACUGAAAAAAAACUAUGCUCUCUAAAUUGUGCUCCCUAUCUUUGCACAGGAGGUUCAAAUUCCGGGCUGUGCUGAUUAUACGGCGAAGGCCGCCGGUCAAAUGCCACAUGUGUGGAAAUGGAGUUCUUCCAUAUAGGCAAUUCCUUAAGAUAUCCACCUGUGGUAACUCGCUGAUAAGAAUGACGACCUUAGUAAAGAUCUGAGUAUGAUCAAGCUAGGAGAGAGGGAGUGAAUUCAGUUACUGAUGAUAAUUUUUCUACACUAGAUAAAUAAAAUUACCAAAUUAGUAAGAUGUGCACCGAGGGUUUAUAACACACAACCCAAAGCAUAAGUGCAAACACAUGGUGGAUAUGUGCCCAUAUGUGAUUGUCAAGGUGGAUCAAAGUUUUGGUUUAGUGUACGUGAGACUAACUAUGGUAUGAGUAAAUUAUUGUGUAUGCAACAUGUCUCUUUGGUAUGUGAUGUGCAGGUGUUGACCGUGAGACAGUCGCAGCAAUAGAAGGUCAAGACAUGAGUCCGUGCACGUUAGACUAGGAGCGGUCAAGGGGCGAACACGGUGGCUUGGACUGAGGGACCUAGGACUGGAGGAUGGACCAUGAAUGACUAUCACUUGGACACAUAGAUAAGCAAGUGUACGUGAAGGUAUGGUGAUGGAGACGAUGUUGGCCAAAGUCAAGAAGACGACCAAACCAAGUCAAGGCAGACGCAUUUGGUGAUGGGAUGGUUGAGGAUGAGUAGGAGACACUUCCACAUCGUGGAGAAGGCCUAGCGGCCAAGAGACUCCACAUGGGUUUGGCAGUUUGGGCCUCAAAAUAGCGGGUGACAGGUUUGCUAGGUUUGGGUCUCAAAACCCAAGGAGGAUCUUGGGGCGGCAUAUGGCAUCAUGGCAGAGCUUGCAUCAGGACAAAACAACUUCAUGAAGCACACAGUCGUUCCCAUGCUUGAAAACUAAAUUGGACCAUUUCAUCGGUGACAAAGUGGCUUAAGACUAAACCUAAGGACACUCUUGAAAUUGUAUUUAAUUGUCUUAUAAAUAAGGAUAGUGGCUAAGUGGUUGAAGACUAAACCUAGGGGAGACUAUGAUUGGACAACAUUUUCUAUUUUCUUAUCUUUUAAAUUAUUAUGUCAGGGUCGUGACUUGGGUGGUCACCGGCGGCAGUGCUGGGGGCGGUGGCGCAGGGGAGCAGGGGCGGCGGUGUGUGACUAGGGCAGGGGUAGGAGCGGCGGCACGAGAGAGAGAGAGAGAGAGGAAGAGCUUUCACUCAUUUAUUUCUUGAUUGAUGCGGUUACAUGUCCUUUAUUUUUUAUAAUCCCUAUUGGACUUGGCUCACAAGCAAAACAAGGAGAUCCUUAUCGAAUAUAGAUUCUCCUUUUCAUCAAUCAACUCUUAUACUUUCUAUCUUAAUAAUCUAUUUCUAAAAUCAACUAAGACUAGAUAUGGCAACCGAACAUGAUACGGAAGGAAACAGCGGCAACGGCAGCGGUGGCAGCGCCUUGCCUAGGGCAGGCCACCAGGUCCCCAAUGGCGCCAUCAAGGGUGGUGGUGCCCCUUGUGGGUCUCUUAUGGCCCGUUCUUGCCAUUGACAGUCACAACCCGUAUUGGGUGUGUGACAUGACUCCCCCCUUGUCCACUCAGCGCGUCCUCAUGGCAAAAUACGACCUGGUCAUCAACUCCAUCAAGUGGCAGAGCUCCUUGGCCUAGAUGAGGCAUACGAUGCUUCUAACGAGUGGAUUGGCAAGGAUUAUAUUUUCCCUUGUCUUGAGCAGUGCAAAUUCGAAGGAGUACUGGAGGUUGUCGAUAUACAAGGUGGUAGCCAAUUGUGCCCAUAUCAGAGCCUGUGUGAGAGUCCAUGUGUGCAGCAAGUAGAAGAGGACAUGGUACCGAUGCAGUUAUGUCAAGAUGGAAAAUCAAUCAUGGAGGAGCCAUGAAGUUGUGAAUGUGGUUGUUGAUGUCAUGGUUGAUGGAGAAUUGAAUGUGGUGCCAAAUAGUUGUCUCUGAGAGAGCUGGAGGAGAGGUCGUGAGAUUGAGCAUUGAGCCAAAGAUGAAAGUUCCCAAAUUGAAAGUGUCUGGUGACAACCGUUGAACGUCUAUUCAUGGAAGGAGGCCAAUGUCGAUGUUGUCAAUAUGGCUAAACAGAUAGUGAAAGGUCCUAAUAUGGCUAGAAGGGGGUGAAUAGCCUAUUAAAAAAAUCUACAAAGCACUAGAGCAAAGAUUAGUACAUCAAAAGGCAUAAUGGAAUUUUGCUCUAGCUCUACAAGGGUUGCAAGCCACCUAUCCAACAAUUAUAGUUUCUAAAAUCACUAGGCACACAAGAGUUAGGUUACUAAAAGCUAAACUAGUGAACUAAGCUACACAAAGAAAAGUAAGCAAUUAAAACUAAUUACACUACUUUGUGGGAAUGUAAGAGGAGAGGAUGUGAUCUUUAUACUGUCUUGUAGGGGAUGAACCAAUCAUCGAUAUGUGAACAAACAAUCACCGGGAGAAUGCCAAUCAAUGACAAUUAAGACACCAACUUUUUCUUCUAAGGUUCAUGUGUUUGCCGGCACGCUAGUCCCCAUUGUCUCAAACAACACCUCGUGGUUCGACGGCUAAUUGGGAAUCCACACCCAAGCUCUCCAAGAGCAUCGCAAGAACCUAACGCAAGUGAGGUAGUUCAAUGACACAAGCAAUUUACUAGAGUUGGUGCUUCGUCGGGGAAGGCACAAGAACCCCUCAUGAUCAUCGGGAGAUAGCCACGAACAAUCACCAACUCAUACCAAUGCUCCUCCACUGCUCCAAGCCAUCUAGGUGGCGGCAACCACCAAGAGUAACAAGAAAACCAUAGCUCAAACGAUCCCCAAGUGUCACUAAAUGCAAUCGCUCAAGCAAAUGCAUAUGGAAUCACUCCCAAUCUCACAAAGAUGGUUAAUCUAUGAAGGAGAUGAGUGAGAGGUGUUUGCUUAGGCUCACAAGGAUGUCAAGUAUAUCAAAGUGCCAAGAGGCACACCCAAGAGCUGGCCAACUAGUAUUUGUAAGCCCUCUCUACUAGAGCCAUUGGGCUCCUGAGGCUUGCCCUAUUAGGGGCAUCAGACAUGGCCUCAGCAUCCGACGGUCUCCUAAUAGGCUCACUAAUUGCUGCCACAUGUCCUACGAUGAAUGUGACCCGUUGAUCUCCAAGGUCACUUAAAUAUUUGAGUUCUCAGGUAUAACAUGUUGGAUGCGUUAGGUGCAACACACUGGACGUGUCACUUACACACCGAACGCUACUCAGGGAGCCUUACAAAUGUGUAGGGGUGUUGAGCGCAUCCGACAGUCACUCAUCGAACGCUCCUCAGCGUCCAACACGCUUAGUCAAAAACAGCUCUCUCACGCGCUCGGUGAUGUCACCUACUAUAGUGCGAGUACCGGAGUGUCCGAUGGCAGAGCAUCGAACGCUCUGACGCAUGGUCCACUCACACACUGCGGCACUUGAAUGCACCAGACGCUGGGUCAGCAUCUAACGCUAUCUAGUCUAGCAUCUAGUGAGUGUUUCGCAGCGAGUUACUCUCGCAAAUUCUCCGAGACUUUCCUUCGGCGCAAUAGAAAAUAUGCAUUUUAUUUUCUCAAAAGUGUUGAAUCCCUCUCUAUCCUUCAAACUCCACCUCCUUCUCAAGGUGUGCCAACACCCUACCAUGUGUGUACCAAUGUGUGCACAUGUGUUGGCAUUUUCACAAUCAUUUUCUUCGAAGGAGUUAAUUUAGCUCAUUAGGUUCUAAAUGCAUACACAUAAACGUCACCUAAUGGCACUCGAUAACCACUUAGCCAAAGAUUUCCCCUCUUUAUAGUAUGACUAUCUAUCCUAAAUAUGACCACACCCUCCAUGGUGUCUUGAUUAUCUAAACCAAAACCCUAAGCAAAACUUUUUUCUUGAUCUCCAUAGAGUUUUGUUUUUCUCUUUCUUCUUUUUCAAGUUGAGCACGUGAUCAUCUUGUGGUCGUCACCAUGAUCAUCUCUACCAGCCUUAUCUAAUCUACACACUUAGCAUGAAGGUUAGUACUUUGGCUUCAUCAAUUAUCCAUAAUCAAACUUAGACUUUUAGAUAGCCGAGGUUGUCAAGGAAGACUACUAUGGCACUUGUAAUGGAUUGAUGAAGUAACCAUGGGUAGCCCAUCAGGAUGUGCAUGGGCAUCCCGUUGAGCUAUCCUUUAGCUGAUUGGGGACUAUGCGCUCCCACAGCUAACAGCUCUAUGUUGGCCAACCUACCGCAUCGAAGACCUUGUAGAAGAUCUAGAAGCUAUGGUGACGCUGCUGGUAGGUAGAAACAAUUCGUCGAAGAAGAUAAGAUCCCUCUACAUGGACCAAUCCUUGGUGGCCUGACCUUGUCCAAUAGCUGUGGUGAUGACACAGAGGUCGUGGUGAUCCCUAACACCCUAAUGCAUAUAGGUGAAGAUGAUGUCACCUAGGUUAUCGAUGUUGUCAAGGGCAUUGGGUAGGUGAGCACAUUGAGCCCUGUUCAUCACAGUAUGUGGAACAUGUGUUGUAGAUGUCCAGGAUAUACGUAGCAUUGGUUGAUGUGUUGGAAGUGCUAGGAUUGUUGUCGGUGCUUGUCGACGAGGCAUUGUGUGUAGUCUGUAGGGGUGCCCAUUGCGGAAGUAGAGUAGCUCCAUGGUGGUGAAGUCCCAAGUAAUGCACCCAAGGCUAGUUAGCCAAGGCAUGCUGAGCAUGACGUAGAAGUUGUUGCCAAUGUCAAGAAGGAGGACAUCAAUACGGAAGAUGUCAUUGCCAAUGUGUAUCGAUAUAUUGAAAGAAGCACUAUGACAUGGUACCUCGUUCCCACUAUCGACGAUGAAGGUGGUGUAAAUCUCAUGCUCCUGGAGGCCAUUGGAGUGAGCAAAAUUGGUACCGAUGAUGUUGUACCAGUAUGAGGAUGCCUUCACCAUGGAGCAUCCUAUCUAGAUAGAAGGGUGGGGUGCCCUGUACCCCUGACUACUGCUUGCCAAUGAUCAUCAUGUACAUUUGUUGUCAGAUGGUGCCACAACAUCUGCUGCUAGUAAGGGUGACGUCGAUAGUGGUGGUGGAGGAAGGUUUGUUAAUGUCAAGAUAGCCAUCUUGCUAGUCUCGAUGAUGUCUAUCAGCCUCCGUUCGUAUCCAACGCUUGAUGAAGUCGCAACUGGCUUUCUCCAUGGUGGCUCGUGUAGAUAUCUCUAGACUCGCAGUGAGGAGCUCCUUCUCUCAUAUCACUACAAGAAAUUCUCUUAUACAUGACAGUUUACUUUCGUCACGGACAAGCAAAAAUGCGUCAUAGUUAACUCGUGAUGACGAUCGCAAAAAACGUCAUGUAUCCCGCGUCAUACAUUUUCAGGACCGAAUCAAACCGUCACAGGUUGGUAUUUCUAUUCGUCAUGGAAUAACUGGUCAAUGACAAUAGAUCUAGGCUAUAGUGACGAAAAAGAACAUCACAGACUAGUGCAAAUCAUCACUGCUUAACAUACAUCAUGGCUCAUAAGAUACAUCAGUCAUAUAAACAAACAUUGAUCAUUCAUGUAUUAGCAAGCUCACUGUUGUACAUUGUCACAUUUUAUGAAACAACAAACUGGCCUGGCACGGCUCACAAUCAUUUAUCAAACAAUGAACUAAUUUAACUCAUAACAACUAAGUUUGAACUUUAUGACAAUCAUCUCUAGGGAGUCUAAAAUAACUAAACAUUCGUAUCGCCGAGCACUUCAAUUGGCUUGUUGUCCAUAAGAUGUGC